rnacentral:lncRNA from 1 species
UAUAUAUAUAAGAAAUUAAGAAGAAAAGGAAAACUGCAAAUUAUAGCCAAACAAAAAAUCAAAUAAAUAAAUAAUUGUACUAUUUUAUUCAUUACAGCGAAGAAAUAAACAUUAGGUAAAUACGAUUCAACCCUAACCAAAAGUUAGGGCCAAAAAUCCAGAAAAAUAAAAUAAAAAUCACAACUAAUAAAUAAAAAAAAAACAAAAAGGGCAAAUUCAUAAUAAUCAAAUCAACUCCCAUCGAAAGAAUAUGUAUAGUAAAAAAAUUAAAGCCAAGGAGUUUAAUUAAUAUUCAUUCUCAAUUCUCUCCAUCGAUCAGAUCAGAUCAUUCUUCCGUCUCUCUCUCUGACUCUCUCUCUACUGAAGGAAAAGGCCGGCGAAAGACAAGACCACGGAGAAGCAAAUGAAUGCUCCGGAGCUCGUCGCAAAUUCAGCUCCGGAGUUGGGUCCCGGCGCCGGAGCGGGCGAGGAGAGGCUUUCCUCCGCUCUAGCGGCGGCGGCAAGGAGGCAGAGCACCGCGAAGACGGUGAAGAAUGCGGUUCUGGAGGCUGCCAUCUUAGUUUUUCUGGUGGUGGUGGUGGUGGUGGAAUUGAACAGAGAGAGAUACAGAAAUUUCUGUAAGUAUUGUGUGUUUUUGCGAGAGGAGAGAGAAAGAGAAUGGUGUAGAUGUGGAUGUGAGGGAGAAGAGGGGAGAAGCAGUCGCUUUUAUAGUUGCUGUGGUGUAACGGUCAGAGACUAAUCAUUGAUUUAUUUUGAUUUAUUUUAGGCUGAAAUUACUCUGAACGUUACGAUAUGAACGUUGGAGAUGUGGGGCCCGCGUGGAAAGACAUAAGGUAACGGUCGCAUUAGCAGAGGGGGGGAUUUUGAAUGAAGCGGGCCCCACGAAUUAUUGCCCCAAUACUUUUUAAUUAAAAAUUAUGGAGCUCUUUAAUCAUUUUUUUUAAUUAAUAAUUAAAGAAAAUGACAACUGUUAACCGGCUCGAACCGGCUGGAAAUUGGCAAACACGGUUCCAAUUUCCGUAAUUUGGGUCCAAUUGUUAUAAUGAUUUUGGGCCUUCUAAUCGGGCUGACAGAAACUAAAAAGGAAAAAGGGUAAAUUACACAUCGCCCCCUGUAAAUUUCUAAUUUACGCAUUUUACCCCCUCAAAAUUUUUAAAAGUGAAUAUCACCCUUCAAAAUAUUAUUCUGGUUGCACAUUGCCCCAAUAGCGAAAUUCCGAUGGAUUAUUCAUCCGAAUUGAGUGUUUUUGUUGCACAUCACCCCUUUAAAUGUUAUUUUUAUUGCAUGUUGCCCCUUGAAAACAUUAUUUUUUUGCACAUUGCCACUUUAAAAUGUUUUUUUUUUGCACAAUGCCCUAAAAAAAUUGGCUUAUGGAGGAAAGUGCAAUCAAAAUAAUAUAUUUGAAUGGAAAAUAUCCGUUUUUUUUUAGGGGCGAAAGUGCGAAAAUGAGAAAUUUAUAGGGGGCGAAGUGCAUUUUAUCCAAGAAAAAAAAAGGCAUACGAGGAUUGUGUGGAGAGAAUCAUGCGAUGCUUAGAUGCUACACCAGAGUUAUUUACAUACGGUUACUUAACCGUAGAUUUACACAUAAUUACACACACCCAAGUGUAUGUGUGAAACCUCAUCUACAGUUAACAAGCACCCGAUGUAACAUCUAACCUCCCGGAUUUUAACCUACAUUUGGUUAAUCAACUACACUUAUCACAAACAAACCACCUAGAUAUAUAGACAGUUUUUACAUUCAAGAAAUGGGGAAAAAAAAAACAAAUUAAAUAUGAUGAUGAGCUUCUUCUCAACCAGGUCUUUGAAUAUUGAUGAGCCCCUUUGUCAACCAAAUCGCAGUUUCUCUCGACGAAACAGCUUGAUCUUCUUCCCCAAACGGCUUCAAAAUUCCGGCAAGCUCCUCUAGCUUCUGGCGUUUGAGAAGCUGCGCACAAAGCUCAAGCAAAGACUCCAUUGCUUGUGCUUUAUCGGUUGAAAUUUCUUCUUCAACCGGCCAAUUGUUGUAUACGCUACUCGAGCUCCCGUUUAUCUUUUCCGUUGUCUUAUUAUCAAUAGCAACUUCACAGUGAAUUUGUUCUUGCUCAGGUGGUUGUUGUUGUUGUUGUUGUUCUUGUUCUUCUUCUUCUUCUUCUUCUGUUCGUUCUGUCUGAUCUUCUUGCUGAUCUGUCAACGUACUUGUUCCGGAUGAGCAUACAGAGUUCGUACUUUUGCUUUUACCGGCCGAAUUGAAUUUAGUGAUUUUGAUAGAACUGGGAGAAAUGUACUUCGAUGAAUUUCCAUGAUCGAGGGGCAAUCUUGUCUUCUUCUUACCAUCCUUUUUCGUAGUAACAGUUGGCUCUUUCAUUAGCCCGUUAUUGUUAGGUUUGUUCACUCGUUUUACGGGGAGAAAAACGGGAGAUAAAUUGCUGUACUUAGCAAGAUAUGGUUGUAAAUGAGGAUGCCUCAAAAGCUCUGCAGCCUUUAAGAAAAUGGCCAUAUAUCAGUAUACGAUAUAUCGAUUAUUUUUUAUAAUUCGAUAAGUUUGUAUUUGUAUUUCAAUUUUCAUGCACUAACCGUUGGCCUAUGUUCUGGACUUUUUCGAAGCAUGGUUUUGAUCAGUUGCUUCCUAUAUACAAUGCCAAUAUCGUAUUAUAAAUAUACGCAGAUUACUUACGUGAAACGGAAAAUUGUUUUCGAAUUCGAUUUUAACUCACAGUGAAGAAGAAUAUACUGUCGGGAGAGGAGAGAGGGUGGAUCUGUUUAUUUUGUUGACGAGUGCAGCCAUAUCCUGUUUGAUUGAUUAAACAUUGCACGGGGCAAGUAAUUAAUUAAGACGAAAUUACGAUUGAGGAUCGAGAGAUUUUAAGAAACUUACUGUAGCCCGGAACGGAGGUUGAUGCGCAGCUAUUUCAAACAUGCAACAGCCUGAGAAAACGGAAUAAAAUUUGAGUUCACUAUAGAAAAAAAGAUUAAAUAAAAUAAAAUGGUGACAAGUUAGAUGUAUGUUAGUUACCUAAAGACCAUAUAUCCGACUUAUAGCCGUACGGUAUAUCCGCUAGAAUUUCCGGACACAUGUAGUUUGGAGUGCCUACCACCUACACAUAACGCGAUUCGGAAAAAAAAUUUGUUAGAGAGAGAGAGAGAGAGAGAGAGAGAGAGAGAGAGAGAGAGAGAGAGAGAGAGAGAGAUGGUUACUGAUGAAGCAAGAUCAUCUUUAUUCAGCAAUUUAGCUAAUCCGAAAUCACCUGCAUGCAGAAGUCUUUUAUUAGGCACACGAAAAAAACGAAGAAUCAACAUAUGUAACAACAAUUGAGGUUCUUAUCUAAUCUUACCGAGUCUGAUUUCGUUGUCUCUGGUAAGGAAAAUAUUUGAGCACUGGAGCCGAACAACACACCACAAAUAAUUCGUUAUAAAAGUUCAAAUUAAAAAUAAUAAAUAAAUGGUAAAAUAAAGAAAUCAAUGUACCUUAAGAUCCCGAUGAAGGACUCUGUUAGAGUGCAGGUAAUCCAAUGCUAAAAGAAGCUGAGUUAGCCAUCUGCAUAUCUUCUGUAGAUAGAAAAAUAAAACGUGGCUUAUAAUUAACAGCCCGUAAAUUUCAGUGUAUGCAUAAUGUCUAUGUAUAUAUGUCGAUUACCUCUUCAGGAAAAUGUAUUCGUCUAGCUUUCUUGAUUAUCUCUGCCCUGAAAAAUAUUCAAUAAUAUUUUAUUUUAGCCACAUAAACGACGAAAGCUGGAAUAAGAUUAUCGAAACUUACAUGUCUCCACCUUCGCAGUAACUCGUCACGAUGCACACGAACGAGCCCUGGUCCGUCAAAAUAAACGUAACUUCACUUACUCGGACCACAGAUUGAAUCAAGAACUGAGGUGUAUAUAUUAUAUAUACUUUUUUUACACACUGUAGUGUGUUGGUUUUUAAUUUACCUUCUCCACCCAUGCAUCCUUGUACUCGAUAAUAUACGGGUUCUUCAAUUUUUCCAUCAAAGCCAUCUGCAUAAAGAAUAAUCAAUAAAAAACACAUAAUUAUAUGAAAGUAAAAUGUGAAAAUCAAUAUAUAUUAUUACUUCAGUAAAAAGGUUAAAAAUGAAAAGUUAACCAUCUUCCACAAAUUAAUUACACCAUAUAUAUUUUCUUUUAUGACAGAGAAGAUAUAGUAGUUGCAUCCCCAUUGAAUGAUCAGCAGAGCAUAAAUUCCUUAUCAUUAAUGACAACUAUACCCCCACGGAUGGUCCCCGUAGCCACGGUCGUAUACUCGUAUAAAAAUAAAAAAUACUGCCUCCGUUUCUUUUUAAGUGACGUUUUAGCAAUAAAAAAAAUAUUUUUAUAUUAUGUGAUGUUCUAAAAUUUCGAUGUCGGAAAAAUUAGUACUCUAACACUAACAACAUAAUGAAGUAAGAGAGAGAGAAUGUUAGGGGCAAUUUAGUCAAAAUAAAGUAACAACUUUCAUUUUAGUUGUACCUAAUCAGAAUUCAGAACAUUUGUUUCAAUAACAGCUAAUUAAGGAAAAAAAAAGAAUAAUUAAUUAAUUACUUCCUGGUGUGCAGUUUUCUUGAAUUUUUCGGUUUGCUUGGCCAGACGAAUCUUCUUCAAGACAUACCUGCAAAAUGCAAUGGAGAGUAUGUAAUUACUACAUAAUUAGAGGGCUAAUCUGCAAACUUCUUAAUUCCCAUGAUCAUGCAAACAAGUUUAAUAAAGAAAAAAGGUUGUAAUAAAAGUUUAAUAAACCUCUUCUUCUCAGAUUUGUGAAGAACAAGAAAAGCAUCUCCAAAAGAUCCUCUUCCAAUCUGCUCCACCACUUCAUAAUCUUCCAUCUUUGUUUUUUUAUUUUGUUGCUGCUUGUGGACUCGGUUACGAGUUAACUCAGCUCUAACAUAUUAUCAGAAAAGGGCUGUAUUUAUAGUUAUAUAUAAUAUAUAAUAUAAUAACUUACCACAGGUGAAUUUAUUGCUCAAUUGAGAAACAUGACAGAACCAUGAAGAAGAGCUUAUUAAACAUUGAAUGCAACACGGGUGUAGUAAAAUAGUAAUUAAAUGAAAAUUUGAGGGUGUGUUAAGAAAUAAUUUUAUGUGGUGCGUUCACAUUGAUAUGGUUUUUUAAGUGGGAGGGGAGGGAAGAUUAUUUGAGGCAAAAGCAAAGUAGUUAAUAAUAAUAAAUGAAUAAAUAAAAAAGAUGGGACAAAUUUAAAUGAAAAGGGGGAACUUUGCUUGCGUUUCCAGAUUCUGCUGUGACAUAAUUACAAUUGUGUAGUUGGCCUGUCACUGUGUCCUUCUGGUGAAUUGUUAAUAGACACUGUGUGUGUGUGUGUGUUUUUUUUUAAUUCAAAAAAGUUAAUAAAAAAUGGGAAAAUUACAAUUUUUAUCCCUUAAGUUUGCACUGAUUCCACAUUUGGUCCACAUGUUCAUAAAAAAUACAUUUGGUCCCUCAUUUUUUAAUAAUUUAAUAUUUUUGGUAUUUUCCGUCAAUCUACCUUUACUUUGUCAGCUAAGGCAAUGAUGGAGCCACCCUUGAUUCCGUUAGUACUAACAGAAAAUUGACGGAAAAUACUAAAAGUGUUGAAUUUUUGAAACUUGAGGGACUAAAUAUGAAAUUAUAUGCAAACACGAGGGGUGGAAAAUUGAUUUUUUUAGUUUGAACUAUGACUACGGGAUAGAAAGAAUGCUAUUAAUAAAGAGUCAAUUAUUUGCAUUAUAAAUUCAACGAAAGAAGGGGAGAAUAGGACUUAUCGGAUCAUAAUUAAUAAUUUCGAGAAAAAAAAAACAUUUUUCUUGGAAAUUAGAAUUUUCAGAAUAACCGGAUCGAAUGGUCACCAAUAAUAUAUAGUAAUAUUGAUAUUAUAAGUAUAAUUUUCUAAAAAAAAUUAAAGUUUUAGAAAAAUGUAUUCCAAUACUGCUACAGACUUUAAAAAAAAAAUUGGAAACCAUAAAUUUUGAAUUUCAAAAUGGGAAAUAUAAUUUUAAAAUAAAAAAAAAUAUUUGGAUUUGGAUCGGCCAAGUUCAGAAAUUUAUUCCCAAUCAAGAAAAAAGUGGACACCAUAUUAUGAAUUACGGAUUACCAUAAUCAAGAUUAGGAGUUUUAAUUAGGGAGAAAUACAAUAUCCGUCCCUCAAGUUUGCAUCGACUUCACAUUUUGUCUCUCAUAUUCACAAAAAAAUACAUUUAGUCCAUCAUGUUUUAUAAAUUCAACAUUUUUAGUCAUUUUUAUCCAUUUUCCGUUAGUACUAACGGAAUCAUGCAUGUGCCCACUACUGCCUUACCUGACAUAAUAACGAUAAAUUGACGAAAAUGACCGAAAAUGUUAAAUUAUUGAAACAUGAGGGACCAAAUAUGUUUUUUUAAAACAUAUAGGACUAGAUGUGAAUUAAUGCAAACUCUAGGGGUGUAAACUGUAAUUUCUCCAUUUUAAUGGGCAAGGGGCAAAACAGGAAAGAAAAAACAACAGAAAAUGAACAAAACCUCCGGACAAAUAAGGCAAGUUCGUUCAUUGGCGAAAAAGUUAGAAAGAGAAACGUCUCUUCUUCUUCUCCUCCUCCUUCCUUCCUUCAUUUUUCUGUUCUCUCUCGUUCAUCAGAAAAUAUAAAUUAAUUUUUAAAUAAAUAAAUAAAUAGAUAACAAAAUCACUAUAGAAAAAAAGUUCAGAAUUCAUUCAUCCUCCUCAAAUUCGUUUCCUGAAGUUUCAAAUCAAUUCCUGUUCUGCAGGAGCACGAAGCAUAUAUAUAUCCUUCUCCGAUCUUAUUUAUUUCCUCGGUCAAUUUCUUAUUUAUUCCUCGGUCAGUUUCUUAUUUAUUUAUUUUUUAAUUUUUUUUCCAUUAAUUAAUUUCUUUGUGUAUUUAUGUUCUUCUUAUGCGUCCACAGACGGUGGAUCUGCCGUUUCAGUAAAUAUUUCAUUUUGGGGGUUUUAUUUUAUAUUAAUUAAUAUUGUGAAAAAAAUGAUUAUUAAAUGAACGUUUGUGUUUAUUUUUUAUUUAUUGGAGAAUAAUUUUUUUUCUAUUUAAUUUUUUUUUGUAUAUUUUGCAAUAGGGAGGAUUUUAUUUAUUUAUUUGUUGGAGACUAAUUUUUUUUCUAUAUUUUUUUUUUGUAGAUUCUGCAAUAGGGAGGAUUUUAUUAUAUUUGAAUGUUGUUUUGAUUGUGUUUGAGGUGUGUUGGUUUGAAUUUUUCGGGUAUUUUUUUUUUUUUGGUAUAUUUUGCAAUAGGGAGGAUUUUAUUAUAUUUGAAUGUGUUUUGUUUGGGUUUGAGGUGUGUUGACAUGAGUUGGUUUGAAUUUUUCGGGUAAUAUGCGAACGCGAUGAAUUUUGUCGAUGAUGUCAUGUCGUUUUACACCGUAGAUAUAGGCACAAUCACAAACAUACACAUGCGUGUGUGUAAAAGUUAGUAGCUUACACACACGCAUAUAUAUAUAUUACUUGAUAUUAUCUUGCUUUCAAUGUGGGAUUAGGUGUUAUAACAAUACACUUGUGGUAUAUUCUUUUCCGGACAUCGUUGAUUUAAAAUGUACGUUAGCACGUAUUGUUUGCGUUUCUUUGUUCUUUUCCUUGUCUAUACGUACAAGAUUAUCGCAUCAAUUAGUCGUAACAAAAUUUAUUCCAGAAAUCACGAAAUGGAACACGACGAAACAGGGUGCCAAGCCUCUCCAGAAGGCCCUCUUCUAUGCGUGAACAAUUGCGGCUUCUUCGGCAGUGCUGCAAACAUGAACAUGUGCUCCAAGUGUUACAAGGACCUGAUUCUGAAACAAGAGCAAGCCAAAUUCGCCGCCUCGUCGAUCGAAAACAUUGUCAACGGAUCAUCAAGUGGGACCCCCACCGAGCAAGAUUCCGUAAUUGUUGCAGAAUCUGCAAACAUCCCGACUCCUUCAGUCGAAGCAAAGUCAAUUUCUUUGCCGUCAGUUAUCAACGCUUCGACCUCGGACGAACCACCCAGAGCAAAGGAAGGGCCUAGCAAGUGCAGCUCCUGCAAGAAACGGGUCGGGCUAACCGGGUUCAAAUGCCGGUGCGGCAGCACUUUCUGCGGGUCGCACCGCUAUUCGGACAAACACGAUUGCCCGUUCGAUUACCGGACCGCUGGUCGGGAUGCUAUAGCCAAAGCCAACCCGGUCGUGAAGGCGGAAAAGCUCGAUAAAAUCUAGUUUGAAUUUCUUUCUUUUCGAUAUGGCAUUUCUCGAUUCUAAUCUUCCAAGAUGAUGAUUGGUGAUUGUGAGUUGGAUGUGUUGUGUUGUGAUUGGUGAGAAUAUGUUUGUGGUGGGUCCAGUUUAUGUGUCUUGUAUGUGUGUGUGUGUGUGAUGGUACUUUCUGCAUCAUAUGUAUGGUGUUUAUUCAUGUGUCUAUGUGUGGUGUGCGGUUCUAUCCUAAGAUUAUAACUUGCAGGCAUCCACAAAGACAAGCUUGUAAUAUAUUUGUAUUUGUUUUAAAUUCUAAUGGCAUCUUUUACUUGCAUAAGUAUUUGUUAUAGAUGGUGUUCUCGUCUUUUUUGCACAAUCUGCUGAAAUACACUGUAGUUUUAUACAAUUAAUCUACAUAUAACAACACACAUACCAAUGUGUAUGUGUGCUUAGUGUAUAGUUAUUUACGUAGAUUUACGGUAGUUUAUAAUUGAUUGUUGUAUUUCACCGGUGAAAUGAGUACUUUGCAAUAUUUAUUUAGAAAAUUAAUAAAAAAUUAAAAAAUACAACUAAAAUGUUAUCUACACUAAGGUGGUGUUUGCAAAUGAUUAUUUAAAAGCAGAAGUUAGUGAUUGUGAUUUAAGUUCGUUUUAAGUGCUUAUUUUCAAAAGUUGGGAGUGUUUGCAAAUAUUCCAGAAAAUAAACUUAAAUAGAAAAAACAGGAUUAUGGGUGCUUUUAAAAAAAUAGCUUAAAACAAAUUAUUUUAAGAGAAGCAAAAACAAAAAUUGAUUUUGCAAACACACCGCAUAAUAACUUUCAAAAAACAUUUACAAACACCACCUAAUCCUAUCUCCAUAAGUUUUGCGGGAGACAAUUUGAUUUACCAACAAAUAGGGCAAAAUUGGGAAAAAAGAGGAAUUCUCUAAAACCUCAGUUAAUUUCGUCAAUGGUGAGUUAGCGUAGUUCAACCUGUGAAAGUAACGAUCCGUGUAGCUUUUGGGAGCACGAAACAUCAGGUAUUCCGGCGCCCUUCUCCCAACAGUUGGUUCAAUUCCGAAGCGUCUCUUAAUAUUGCAUCCAAACUGUUCGACAUAUUGCCGCACCGGCCACCAGAGUACAAAAAAAAAAAAGAAAAUGAGCAAGCGGCCUCCUCCCGAUCCGGCGGCGGUUCUCAGAGGCCACCGCGCCUCCGUCACGGAUAUUUGCUUCCACCCAUCAAAGAACAUCCUAUUCACCGGCUCCGCAGACGGCGAACUCCGCAUCUGGGACACGUUACAGCACCGCACGAUUUCAUCCUCAUGGGUCCACAGCGCAGCUCACGGUGUAAUAAGCAUCGCCGCCGCUGAAGAAAACAGAGUGAUCACUCAGGGAAGGGACGGAGCUAUCAAGAACUGGGAUAUAGGAGAAGGCACCGCCAUCUCUCGAACCCCACUCACCACUAUCAAAACUAAUUCCUACCACUUUUGCAAGCUCUCACUCAUAAACAACAAUCAUAACAAUAAUCAUGUCGCCGUAGCUGGAGAAGAUUUGUCGGCGGUCGAAAUCUGGGAUAUUAAUAGAGCCGAAAAGCUCGUAAAACUGAGCUCCUCAAAUUCUUCGAGAGGAAUGUGUAUGGCAGUUCGAGGUUUUGAGUUGCAAGGGUACGUAAAUGUUGUGUCUGGAUACGAAGAUGGAUCGAUGGCUUUGUGGGAUUUAAGGAAUCCGGCUUUACCGGUGACUAGUAUGAAAUUCCACUCGGAGCCCGUUUUGAGUUUGUGCAUAGACAGUUCAUGUGGAGGUGGGGUUUCUGGUUCUGCAGACGAAAAAAUUGUGAUUUUUAAAUUGGAUGCUUCGACGGGUUCUUGUUUGGUAAAGAGAGAGAUUGUCUUGGAGAGAGGUGGAAUUUCGGGAACUUCGAUUAGGCCCGAUGGUAAAAUUGUUGCUACUGCAGGGUGGGAUCAUAGGGUGAGGGUAUACGACUAUCGAAAGGGGAAUGCUUUGGCUAUAUUGAAAUAUCAUCAUGCGAUUUGUAAUGCGGUCUCGUUUUCGGAUAAUUGUAGAUUGAUGGCUUCGUCUUCGGAAGAUACUACUGUUGCUUUGUGGGAAAUUUAUCCUCCUUCGACGAACUGAAAUCAGACUUCCAUUGAAUUCUUGAUUAUUGUUUGCGUCAUAUUUAUUGUGUAAUCUGCACCAAGUUUAUGGUGAACCUUACUCUGUUUUUUUCGUUUUCAACAUGAAAAAGUGCAAUCACAAACUUUGGUAUUCAGUACAUCUCACACAUAGAAAUUAGAAAGCAUUGUUUGUGAUGUCCUAUUUAUUACAAACCAGAGACCAACGCGUUGGUUAUUACAACAAGAUUCCGAAUCUAUAAAACAUCAAAGAUUGUGUUAGAAAAUUCCGGUUAGUUUGGGAUACCCGCUAACGCUACAAUGUUUACAGCACGACAAAUGGCCGAAGAUCGGAAAGAUUAAUAUGUACAGUUGGAAAGCCCAUUUGAAAUUUGGCAAGAAACUCCAUAAGAAUCACAAUUGCCAAUAAUAGUAUCGCGGAUCAAGGAGAAUCGCAACUUUAGUGUGAUGAUCAAAAGUCAUUUUCUUUUUCGAGUUUCUAUCAAAUUUCAAAUAACCUUUCCAACUGUACUUACUCAUCCUUCGAACCCUCGAAAACACGACAUGCAUAUAAGUAUGACAGCAUUAGCAUUCCUCAUCUUUUAUGAUUAGAACAACAAGAUGUAAAAAGGUUAAAAACUAAGAAACCGAAAAAUCAGACAGAAAUUCCACCGGAAGAUUCAGCUUCAAGAUACUUGCAGAUCCUCUCCAUAACCUCUCUCCCCUUAACACUAUUAUGCUGAAACUUCUCAACGCAUUUCUGCUCGAUCUUCCCCGCCAUUGAAGCCAGCUUCGAAAACGGCUUUAUACUUAUGCUAGUCUCCUGCCUACACACAGUCCACCCGUUUGGAUUAUCCGGGUGAGGAUCAUACCUAAUCUUCUCCUCCACUUCAAUGAACUUUUGGAGACUAAUAUUACGAGUGGUUAGUUGCAUAGACCUUGACUGUGCAUCAACCACCGUUGAUUCGACACAGUGGCACAUAUCUUGGCCGAUGAUUUUACGAACAAACCAUGGCCCAGGGGCGUGGAUGGUAAGUGCGCGAGUUGUGUGUAGUUUGCCUGAGUCAGGUUCCAGCUUGUGGCUUAAAGUAUCGACUUCGAGUAUGUGGGAUAGAGUUCGUUUGUUCUCUGGAUCGGAGAAUUUGCGCCAAGAUGCAGCGGUUACUCUUUCCCAGGGGUGCUUGUAUGUGUGUUCUUGAGAAUAUGCCCUAACCAUACUUUCUUUUUUCGGAUUGAUCUGCUGCUGAUCAAAAGAAAUAGAGCACCAAUCAAAUCGAUGUAAUUAUAGAACAUAUACGCAACAACAUAGAGAGCUAAAAAAAACACGCAGAAACAGUCGUCGAGUACGAUAAAUUGUGAUGCGAUUCAACCAUGAAUCAACAUUCAUAAGGUUUUGCAUUUCACUCCAUAUUGUUGGAUUCAGCCAUUUUUAAACUCAUGGUAAUACAAACUAGAAGAAUCCAACACACAAGCAAGAUUUCACAGUAUCCAAUUAUGAUUUAGAAACUCAGCUAAAACAGAUUUGAAAUCAAGGUAUUAUAUAAAAACUGAAAGUGAUCACCAAUCGAAUCAAAUCGAAAUUUUUAAUUCUUCAUGACGAAUAAUCCCAAACAUUGAACAAAACAACAGAUUAAAAAACAAAAAAAUUGCCAGAUAAAUCAAUAUAGAGAUCAUAAUUAAGAAAUCUGUAGAGCUACGAACAUGAGAAUUCCAAUUCAGAAUCCGCCCAUGGAAAAAACAGAUGGAAUUUCUUAACCGUACUUCGCCGGACAAAAUUUAGGCUCGAUCACCACUUAUUCGCAGGUUCUCCGAAAUUGAGGCACAAAUUUUCAAACGAAGAAGAAAGACGUGAUUUAUGUUUGAAUUGUUAACGAAUUACCUUAAUCGGUGGCGAUUGAAGUCGGCAAUUGCUGGAGGAGGCGGCGGCGUGGAGGCGGCUAGGGCUCUCUGGAGUGAGGAGCUGGGCUUCUGAAUUUGAGCUGAAAUUCACCGAUCUAAAAUCUGAAUAAGAAAAAAGAAAAAAAAAAAAAAAAAACUUGUUACUGGCGAAUUAGAAUUUUUAAUUUUUUUACUGGGUUUUCAUAACAAAUAAAAUUAAUUAAUUAUAGACUGAUUAGGACAUUCAACUCUGUUAUGGAUAUUUUUUUCCUAGAAGUUCUUUAUAGUAAAAUUCUAUUAUAAAUACCGGGUAAAAUGAGUUUUUUAGUCUUAUAAGUUUACUAGUUGAGAGUUUUAGUCCAUCUGUUUCAAAAUGAGAAUUUUAGUCUUGUAACUUAAAAAAAUUGGGAAUUUUGGUCCUAUGAUGACCUGUUAUAACAGGUAAUGUGAUGGUUGGUUGAAUGAGGUGGCAUUUAAAGUAUCAAAAUAAAUAAAUCCAAAAUAAAUUAGGUGAUGUGGCUAAUGAAUUGGACGAUUUUGGAGGAAAAUAAAAUAUACCAUCAUUUUUUUUAUUUGAUGAAUGAAAUAAGCAUUUUUUAGUAACUACUUUUUAAUUAAUAUUUCAUAAUUUUCAAUUGAUAAAAAUAGUAAUUAACUAUAUUUUAUUACUCGUUAUUGAUAUUUGUUUCUCUUGGUUUAAUAACGUAUUUUAUGUUUGGAGGCUCUAGAAUGUUUUCUUUGGUACAUUUAAUUUAAUAGAGUUUUGAAUAUAUUUUAUUAUUUUUUUGGUUAAUUCGUAAAUAUGUAUUUUAUUUUUUAUACUAAUUAUGAUUAUCCAUGUCAUUUAACUUUACAACAAGUUUUCAUAAAAGGUUUUUUUUUUCGUAUUUUUGUUGAAUUUGAUUGUUCGUUCAUUUUCAUUGUAAUCACUAAGUAGAGAUAUGUAAAAAAAUCAAAUAUUUAGAUAAAUAUGAAUUUAAUUACUACUUUUAUCAAAUAAAAACUAAGAAAUAUUAAUUAAAGAUUAGUUAGUCUUAUUUUCUUCAUAAAAAAUAUAAUGGUAGAGUUUAUUCAAUGGUUUAUUGUGGUUCUUUAUUGCAAAUAUAACAACGAAAUAAAUAUANNNNNNNNNNNNNNNNNNNNNNNNNNNNNNNNNNNNNNNNNNNNNNNNNNNNNNNNNNNNNNNNNNNNNNNNNNNNNNNNNNNNNNNNNNNNNNNNNNNNGCGGCGCGCCCCCGCGCGCGCUCUCUCUCUCUCUCACACACACACACUCUCGCUCUCGCUCCCCCCGCGCGCGCGCGCGCGCGCGCGCGUGCGUGUGCGAGCGCGCGCGCGCGCGCGCGCGCGCGCUCUCUCUCUCUCUCUUUUUUUUUUUUUUUUUUAUAUAUAUAUAUAUAUAUAUAUAUAUAUAUAUAUAUAUAUAUAUAAUUAAAAAAAAAAAAAGAAGAAGAAGAGGAAGGCAGUUCGCGAGCCGGCUCGCUAGCUGUCGAACAACUAAAUUUGGACUCGAGCUCGAGCUCGUCCGAAGCUCGAGUUCGAGCCUUUGUUGAGCCGACUCGUCGAGUUCGCGAGCCGGCUCGGCUCGUUUACCACCCCUGAUCCACAUCAUAUAAUUUAUUUUUAAUUUAUUGAUUUUUAUAUUUUAAAUGUCAACUCAUUCAACCAACCAUCAGAUUACCUAUUAUAGCAGGUCAUAGGAUCAAAAUUCUCAACUUUUAUAACUUACACGACUAAAAAUCUGAUUUUGAAACAUGGUGGACUAAAAGUCGCAACUAAAAAACUAAUUUUGCCUAAAUAUCGCCUAUAACGUCAUAACAAUUCUUGAUUAAGUUAAUUAAAAUUGUUACAUUUUUCAACACUAUUUAGUUUGAACCGGUCACAUAUGGUCAAUUCACAUCUAUCUACUCUUUGCAAACUAUUGUAUGGGGACAUAGUUUACUUGUGCACUUCGCAUGAAUGCGAUCGAGUUUUCUAGUCAAUAAAAUAAAUUUAUUGAAAGAGGAUCAGAAUUUCAUUUAAAAUAAAGCAAUUGGAAAAAUAAAUUAUUAUUUAAUCCAUAAAAUCAAUAAACCCGCUUAAUUAAUUAAUUUACAAAAUGAGAUGGUCCAACAAACAAGAAAGUCAAAAAAUUUAUUAUUAAUUUCAGAAGAUAUUUAUCUCACCCCAGUCUAGGAUCCAUUGCCAAAACACUGCAAGCGAGCGAGCUCCUUUAACGAUGCAUACACAUACCCUGGUUUUAAUUACAGUAACAAUAAUAAUUAUAAUAAUAAUGAUAAUUAAUUAUUAAUUGAGAAUAAUUAAUUAUUAAUUGAGAACAAUUUAAUUAUAAAUUGUUGAGUCCCAUAGAACAAGACAAUGGCGUGCACAUGCCUUGCCAAUUACUAAAUAUCGUUCUUAUUAAUUUCCUCUGUAUCUGUAUCAAAAUUCCAUUUGUUUCCAUUCUUCUCAUGGGGUGUCCAAACAUUAGUACACAACUUGAUUAAAUGAAUAUACAUAAUAUACUUAUAUAGUUGGGGUAAGAUUUUUUAUUUUUUUUACAUAUAAACAAUAAGUCUUGAGAUAACUGUCAAAUCUAUGUGCUACACCUACGCACUUUCGAUGAAUUUAUCAUCUACUCACCAAUAUAUGGUAAACAUUGAAUUUACUCCAUCUGUUCCAUAAUAACUGUCUAUUUUUUAAAAUAUUUUUGUUCCAUAUUGUCAGUCACUUCAGAUUUUCAAUACUGCAUUAAAUGCAUUUUUCCUGCUUUAACCUUAUUAAUGAAAAUCUGAUUAUUAAUUUUCUCUUAUAAAUCAUUAAAUAAUAAAGGUUGUUUUAGUCAUUUUUCUAUGAUUUUUCUAAAAUCAAGAUAUAUUUAUUAAGUUUCUUAAUCUUUGUGAAAAGUGAAAAUAGGGCCCAAUGAAUUAAUUAAUCCAACUCAUUAGCAUAUUUUUCCUACUAGACAGCUUAAAAAGAAAUCACCGCAUUCAGUUCUUCUUAUAUCGGCUUCCGGGAUACUCUAGCUCGUUGAUGAUGACGAUGGAUGUACCUAAACUCGCUUAAUUUGAAUUUUUAAGAGGAGAGAUAAAGAUGUAAGAUAAAUACACAUGCAAUUUGAAUCUUAACCUAGCUAGUUUCCACAUCUUUGUUCUUCAUUGAGAGUACUGAGAUCCACUUCUAAGUGUGGGAAACACGCGAGUUCAAAUUCUUGGAGGUUGUAUGUAUAUGCGCAUUAUAUAUAUUGACGUAUAAAAUUCAGAAUGGAUUUGUUAACAAAUUGCAAAAGAUUUUUCAUCACAUACAUUCUUGAUAAGGAUAAGAAUAUAAUCUAUGACUUAUGAGAUAUAUUAUACAUCUAGUGAAAUAUACCAUAUAAUUCUAAAUCGUAAAUUUACAUAAAUAACUAUUCAGCCACUAAAUACAUAAAGAAAAGAGUAAAAAAACAAGAUGAAUUUCACAAGGUGUAGAUUAUUCUACCAAACAUAAUUAUCUAGUAAUUGGGUGUAUAUAAGUAUCAUAGUGUAAGGAAUUUUUGGACGCAUGAAUUAAAGGGGUUUCAGCGAUCGGAAAAACCCUAGUUAAAUUAUUGUCCCCAAGAAAACAACCCUACGAAACCCUAACCCUAGAAUCUUAAACCUAUCGUAAUUAAUUCAAGAAAUUACUUAAUUAUAUAUUAAUGAAUAUAAUAAUAGUAGUAAUUAAUUAACACAAGCAUAUAUAGAGUGGGUUCCAGAAAUAUUAACAAAAUGCUCCAUCUCGAGGCGACACGAGCACUUUCCCGGCGUUCCCUCCCACCACCCCCCUCUCUUUGAAACUAUCAAUUUUUGUUUCUCUCUCUAGAUUCUCGUGUACAUUUCUUCCAACUUUACCCCCCAUUGUCCACCUCAAAUUACGACCCCCCCCACCCCCUCAUUAAUCUCUUUCUCAUUCAUUCACUGUUUCUAUAUAAUUUCAACUUUCAAAACACUAAAUUGGUUCGUUGUUCAUGUUUGUGUGUGUGUGUUGAUUUCCUCCUGUAAAAAUUAAAUGCAUGAGAAAAUUAAUUUACUGCAAGUAGUUAAAUUAAUGAAAUUAAAUUAGUCAUAUGGAUUAAUGCAAAAUUAAAUAAAAUCUGUUGAGGAUCCAAAUGGUCAUUUUUGUUGGUGGCGCAAUUACUUACUGGCUGGCUGGCUGGCUGAUCAGGUUGACUUAUCACUACCUUUCAUAGUCUUCUUAAUUACUUAUCUUCUUGGAUCAAUUCAAUUUAUUUAAUCUUUUAACUUAAUUAUAUAUACUUUGUUUUUUUUCCUAAAUUAAUCAGAAACAGAAUAGGGUUAGAAUUAAUUUGCAGUGUGUGUGUGUAUUUAUAUAUAUAAAGUGAAAACAUCUUCCUCAAAAUCAUUAUUAAUGUCUAUAUACUAUACUAUACUUUUAAUAUAUAUAUAAUACACAAGAAAUUAAGGGACAAGAAAGAUUAAAAAAUGGUCAAGAUUUACAGUGAUUUGCAUGCAACGGUAAAAAAUGAAAAAUUAAUAUUUGGAAAUAUAUAUAUACUGCAUGGGUAUAUAUAUAGCAUGCAUGCAAACAUGAACCGGAUAAUCAGCGGGCAAAAGGCAACAGUGGUCCAAUAGCAGCAAAGAUCGAUCAAUUCUUUUUUUAUUUUCUUGGAAAAAUGCAUGGAAGAGAAGAAACUGACGCGUGUCUGUCACAUUCCUCCUCCUAAUUACCUGAAUCGGCGUGGCGGUCUGUCAAUCCAAAAACAAAAAAAAAAAGGAAAUAAAAUUAAAUGAGGGUCUUUAUAAUUAAUUAUAAUAAUAAUUAAGUGGCUGUUAGUAGUAGUAUAUUGAAUCCCACCACAGCCCUUCUUCUCUCACCAACUUACGAUGCCUCCCCACUUCACUAUUUUCAAGAUUAUUAUAUAUACAUUAUACAUACAUUUAGGGUUUAUGAAGUUUACAUUUUAAAUUAUAUUUCCAUAAUAUAUAAAUAAAUAGUUCACAGUUGUUAACAGUACUGAGAAAUUCCAUCAAUGGUGUAGCGUUUGAAAAUUGUUUGACUGAACCAGUGAGUGGAAGACACAAGGCACAGAAACAAAGAGGCUGAAAUUCUACCUAUGUAAUUUUAAAUUUGAUUAUUUUAAUUUAUUUUCUGUACUAUCUUUUGUUACAGGCAGUAAAAAAAUAAAUUAAAUAUAAAUAAUUAAACAAAAAACUGUUUAGAGCCUUUUGACGAAUGCGGUUUCCAAUUCGACGGUCAACAGAUUUCGUCUUUGGAAAAGCCAAAACCAAAUCGUCCAAUCCUUUUUUUCUUAUUUUUUAAUCUUUAUUAAUUAAUUUAUUGAGUAAUUCUCACUCUCUCUCUCUCUCUCUCUCUAUUAUUUUUUUUAAUUUUUAAUAUGUCGGAUAUUUUCUAUAUAAUAUGCAAUGUCCGUACACGUUUAGCUUUCAAUUACAUGCAGGCUCACACGGGGAUCCACGUACUUGUUUUUCAUGGCUACAUGCAUUUCUUGAUCACUCCCACACACACACACAAUUAUAUUUAUACAUAAAUUCAUAUAUAAAUAUAUACGUAGCUUAGUAUAUAUGUAUCUAUUUAAAUAUGAUGAUCUUAUAAUACUUGUCUUGAAAAUUAAUUAUGGUUCAAGAAUCAGCAGUAACAGCUCGGAAUAAAUAGAUUUUUAUAGUGGGGGUAAAUGAUUUUGCUGACGUGGAAAUGCUGGGGUUUGGGGUGUCAUUUUUUACACAGAACGAGGAUUUAGGAGAGUCCCAAUAAAUAACCUAGUGGGGGGUGGGGGUGGGGGUAAGGGUGGGGUGGAUUCUUACAGUUGGAAUUGUUAAUUUGUGUUGAUCAAAGGACCACAGUGUAGUAAAACAAAUAAGACACUCGUGCUAAUAUCAUACUCUCUGCAACUCUUCACUAAUUACUCCAUCUUUGACCACAAGUUUAUUUCAUAUCACAUACACUUGAAAUAUAUAUAUAUAUAUAUAUAUAUAUAUAUAUAUAGUGAUACAUACAAGAUAUGUUAAAUACAUACAUAAAAAUAGAUAUAGUAUAGUAUAUAUAUCAGCAAGUAUAAAAAGCAUUUCUUUGUAAAUGACACUACUGUAGCUAGGGUUUCAGCAGUUAUCCAUAUUUACUAAUAAUCUUUUCUCCCUCCCUCUUUCUUUAUCUAUCUUGUUCUUUCAUAUACUGUUUCAUAUAUUUAGAGAGAGAGAGAGAGAGAGAGAGAGAGAGAGAGAGAGAGAGAGAGAGAGAGAGAGAGAGAGAGAGAGAGAGAGAGCUAUAAAACAUUCUGUUACUGCCCUUUUUCAUUAGGGUAAAGCUGUGUCAGUUUCUUAUUAAGUCUGCAAGAUCUUUCACUCAGAUCUCAUAUAUUUUUUUUUAUAUAUAUGCUUCCCUUUAUGUUUACAUGAUUGUAAUUCAAUUUCCUGUUUUUGUCAUGUGCAGGAACUUCAGACUGAUUGCUACACACAAGAUAUACAUCAUUAGGGUUCCAUCAUGAAUUCCAACAACUGGCUUUCUUUCCCUCUUUCUCCCACUCAAACACCUCAAUCCCACCACUUCUCAUUAGGGUUAGUCAACGACAACAUCAACGAAACCCCUUUUCAAAACCAAGGCAAGUUUAUUCGUAAAACCCUUUUUUUUUAUAUCAUCUUUAUGUAUCCAAAUUUCGAUUUUUAGAUAUUUGUUUUUUAAUUUGCAGGAUAUGGAGACUGGAAUUUAAUCAACAAUCAAGAAGCGAACGAAGUUCCGAAAGUAGCCGAUUUCCUAGGGGUGAGCAAAUCGGACCACCACGCAGCCCUAAUACCUUACAAUGAAAUCCAGUCGAGCGAUUCCGACUACAUGUUUUCGAGCAAUAGCUUGGUCUCGGUGCAGCACACUCUUGCAUCUGCUGUCACAAAUAAUAACUACGAAAGUCUUCAAGAAAACGGUUGCAACAUGCAGCAAUUGACUCUUUCAAUGGGGAGUGGUAAUAACAAGGGUUCGACCAGUGAGACGAGCGCCAGCUCAGCAACUGCGAUUGCCGAAAAUACGACGACUAGUAUUGUUGAGGCUGCUACCCCUAGGAGGACUUUGGACACUUUUGGCCAAAGAACAUCUAUAUAUAGAGGUGUUACUAGGUGAGAUUAAUUCAUAUAAUUUUAAUUUAUUUUUCAUUUUAAUUAUUUAUCUCAUUUUUAAAUUAAUUCUAUAUUUGUGGUGGUUCAGACAUCGGUGGACCGGGAGGUAUGAGGCUCAUCUAUGGGAUAAUAGUUGCAGACGGGAAGGCCAAUCUCGGAAAGGGCGUCAAGGUAAUUUUAAUCGUCUGGAUUAAUUUCCUUGUUAAUUAAAUUAAAUAUAUAUAUUCUUGGUUUAAUUUGCUAAUAAUUAAUAAAUUACUAACUUAUUUUUCGUGUUAUUUUUCGACCGUACUUUCUUGCUCGGUGCAGUGUAUUUGGGUAAGUUUUAUAAUUUUUCGUUAACUCAAAUUACAUGGUUUGUGUAAUUUUAUAGUAGUUUUAAAUUAAUAUUGUUUUCGUUCAUCGAACAGGUGGUUACGAUAAAGAGGAUAAGGCAGCUAGGGCAUAUGAUAUGGCUGCACUAAAAUACUGGGGAACAUCCACCACUACUAAUUUCCCUGUAUGCAAUUUUCCUACAUUUCUUUUUUUGUUUGUAAUAACGAAAGACAAAUACGAAUAAUUAUAUAUACUAUAACCGUUGUAAAUCGCAUGCAGAUCAGCAACUAUGAGAAAGAAAUCGAGGAUAUGAAAAAUAUGACAAGGCAAGAAUUUGUGGCUUCAAUCAGAAGGUAAAAUAUUUGCCAUCGUUUCUAAACCCCACCAAACUCGAGUCGAAAGAAAAAUGAUUAGAAGAAUAAUUAAUUAAUUGUGCAAGAAACUAAAUGUAUUUAAAACAUGCAAUAUUGUAUAUUACAAGAAUCAGAUUUUGUCAGAAAAUUAUAUACUAUAUAUUGCAGAUUCUCUGCAAUAGCUUUUUCUGAGUUCUUCACUGCAACUUCUUGUUUUUGGAUAAUAUAUUUUCAUUUUUCCUUUAUAGCUUACUUGUUUAUUAUGUCAGCUAAUAUUCAGAAAUCUUAUUUUAAUCAUCCUUUUUUUUUUAAUUAAAUCAGGAAGAGUAGCGGAUUUUCGAGGGGAGCAUCAAUGUAUCGUGGCGUAACAAGGUAUAUAUAUCCCGAACCAACUCUCUUUCGAUCGUUAAUCCAUUACAAUAAUUCAUAUAAAAUUUUGUAGCAUCAGCAAUUGUAACAUAUAUAUAAUCUCUAGAUCUCUAAAUAGCUAUUUAUUUUUUCUUAAUUUAAAUUAAAUAACUUAAAUCAAUAAUAUAAACAGGCACCACCAGCAUGGAAGGUGGCAGGCAAGAAUCGGAAGAGUCGCCGGAAACAAAGACCUCUACUUAGGAACUUUCAGUAAGAUAUAUAUAAUUUAUAUAUUUCACUUCAUUAUUAUUUUAACUCAAAUUAUAGACACUAACCCUAAUUUCUUUUUGCAGGCACCGAGGAGGAAGCGGCAGAAGCGUACGACAUAGCGGCAAUAAAAUUCCGAGGUCUAAACGCAGUAACGAACUUCGACAUGAACCGCUACGACGUGAAAGCCAUUCUCGAGAGCAGCACCCUCCCAAUAGGUGGUGGUGCCGCCAAACGCCUGAAAGAAGCUCAGGCGGUAGAAUCUUCUAGAAAACGCGAAGAAAUGAUAUCCCUAGGGUCCACCACCACCUUCCAGUACGGCAGCCCUAGUGGCGGCGGCAUAGGUCUACCUCUCCAAUCAUACCCUUUCACGCAGAACCACCACCCCUACGAAACUCAGCCUUUACUAACCCUACAAAACCACGACCAUCUCUCCAACCAUUACAGCAACAACAAUAAUAACAAUAAUAAUCAAGAAUCGUCGUCUCAUUACCAGAGCUAUAUUCAGACACAGCUGCAGCUUCAACAGCAGCAGCAGGGGUAUUAUGGUAAUUAUCUACAGAGUAGUAAUGAUCCGGUUUUGCUGCAUGGGUUGAUGAACAACAUGGGGUCGACGUCGAAUUCCGUAAUGGAUCACAACGGGAGCACGAGUACCGGUGGGAGUUACAGCGGGGCGGGUUUUCUGGGAAUGGGUAUGGGUAUGGGUAUGAGUAUGGGGGAAGGCGGGUCGGGUUCGGCUGAGGAACAGCUGGCGAUGGUGAAAGUGGAUUACGAUCAUAUGGGUUCGGGUGACAAUGCGGCUACUUACACCGGUUGGUCUGGAGAGACUACGGUUCAGGGUUCGUCUAAUCCCGGUCUUUUUACCAUGUGGAAUGAUAUUUAGAUAUAUAUAUUUAUAUUUCGAGAUUGAAAACUUUGCUAGCUACAUUAUCAUGUGGUGAUCGACGAUCUAGAAUCGGGAGAGGUUUAUUUUUAGUUUUUUAAUUUGUUUGUUUUCGAUGUUAUAUUAGGAUCGAUCUGCUGGAUUUUUUUACGUUGUUUGUCUGUCUAUGAUCAUGUAUUCUUGUGUAUGAAUGUUAUCGAUUAUUUUCGCUAGCUGGUUUUUUUUACUCUAUUUAUGCUUUUAUACACACACACGUAUACAUAACAUACGUUGUAUAUAUAAUGUAGGUUUAUCCGUACAUAUAUAGUUGGCUGCGAUUACUUCAUUUAAAUAAAAAGUAAAAAAGUUAAUACUAGCUAUCACAACCCUAGGGUAACUAUAAUAGAUUAAUAGUAUUUUCGUAAUGUUGUUUCAAUUGUUCUUUCUUUAUCCCCUUAUUUUUUUUUAAUUUGAGAUAAAUAUAAACUAAAAUGAUGAUAUAUGUCGACUACAACUCAUCUCUACUGUACUAGGACCCUACAUUUUAUUAUUAUUAUUCCACUUUCUUUGGUUACAUCUUUGUAAUUAUUAAUUUUUUAAUAUUUUUUUUUCUAGACUAAUUUUCUAUAGUGAUAUAAUUCAUUAGUCCCAAAGAAGGCCCAUAAUGUUGUUAUGAAUUUUAUUUUAACAUAGUGGACAUUGCCUAAAUCUCGUCAAAAUUGGUGUCUAAAAUCCUGCAACACGACACUCCAAUUGCAAAAAGUCAAAUAGCAAACCUCACACAUUUUUAAUUUAAUUUAAACAAAUAUAUAAACAAAUAUAAGAUACCAUAAAUAAAAAAAAUAAAAAAAAAUAAAAUCUAAAGCAUUAAAUAAAGGAAUAUUAGUAUUUUUGUUUGGGAUUUUUAUGCAAAAGUCCCCAACCAAGCAUGUUUAUUAUUCUAGGUUUAGGGGACAUAUCUCUUUUACCAAUAAGCCCAUCCCUUUAAUAUUUAUUAUAACUAAAGGAAACAUUCAUGUAUAUCCCAAUAUUACCCUCAACCAUUUAUACCCAAUUCUUAAUUGUAAUCCAAAUUAAUCAAUUUUGUCCAUAAAAGUUCAAUUUUGACCACAAAAAUUCAAUUUUGACUUUUUUUUGGAGUAUAAUUUAAUAUGCUCCAAUUUCAUCCUUAACUUAAUUUAAUCUCAAUUUGACCCCAAAUUUCACAAAUUAUUAAAUUUUGACCCAAAAAUUUUUUUUUUUCAAAAACUUUUUUUUUGCCGCCGGAUUCCGGCGUUGACUUUUUUAAAUUUUUUUUUUUUUUUUCUUCUUUCUUCCGGAUUUUUUCGCCGGUUUCCAGCGUUGACUUUUUUUUUUUUUUUUUUUUUUUGCUUUUUUUUUUUUUUUUCUUUUCUUUUCUUCCGGAUUUUUUCGCCGGUUUCCGGCGGUCUCUUUUUUUAGUGUUUUUUUAAGUUUUUUGUUUUGUUUUGUUUGGUUUGUUUUGUUUUUCCACGUCCGCCGCUAAACGUUGACCGCAAUUGUGCUGUCACUGACAGUAAAUUAACGUAAUUAUACUGUCAAUGAUAGUUAAUUAACGUAAUUGUACUGCCGUUGACAUUACAUUUAUGUAAUUGUGUUGCCGUUGACAGUAAAUUAAUGCAAUAUUAUAUUUUUUUAUUUAUUAUUAUUUUUUUUUAUUUUUUUUUGAUUUGUUGACAAGUCAACGUAAUUAUAUUACUGUCGUUGACAGUAAAAUAACUGUAAACACAAUAAUAUUACUGUCAACAACAUCAAUAUUAUUAUUUUUUUGUGGUGUUUGUAUUAAUAUUACUGUCUAUUAUUGUAAUAUUACUGUAAACACAAUAAUAUUACUGUGGUUGACGGUAAUAUUACUGUUUGUUAUAGUAAUAUUCCUGUCAACCACAUCAAUAUUAUUCUUUUGUUUGGAUAUUUUGUUUGUUUGAGUUAUUCACGGAGUAACGUAAUAAUAUUACUGUCUACUAUUGUAAUAUUACUGUUGCUAUAGUAAUAUUACUGUUGCUAUAGUAAUAUUACUGUCACUCACAGUAAUAUUAAUUCUUUUGGUUUUUUUUAUUUUGUUUAUAUUUGUUGAACGGACAACAUAGUAAUAUUACUUUAUUAUACAAUAAUAAUGAAUUUUGUUGUGUUAAUAUUAAUGUGCUAGAGAUUAAUAUAGCAAUAUCACUGUGUUAAACUAUAGUUUAGUUAUUUUUACUGUGUUUAACAGUAAUAUAGUUAAUAUUACUGUCAUUCAAAGCAAUAUUGUUGUUUAAACGGAAAAAAAAGUUACAGAAAAAAAAAUAAAAAAAAAAAUAAAAUAAAAAAAAUAAAAAAAAGUCAACGCCGGAGACCGGUGUUUACCGCCGGUCAACGCCGGAAUCCGGAAAAAAAAUCCGGAAGAAAAAAAAAAAAAAAAAAAAAAUUAAAAGUCAACGCCGGAAUCCGGAAAAAAAAAUCCGGAAGAAAAAAAAAAAAAAAAAAAAAAAAAAAAAGUCAACGCCGGAAUCUGGCGGAAAAAAAAAGUUUUUGAAAAAAAAAAUUUUGUGAAAAAAAAAAAGUUUUGGGUCAAAAUGAAUAAUUUGUGAAAUUUGGGGUCAAAUUGAAGUUAAAUUAAGUUAAGGAUGAAAUUGAAGCAUAUAAAAGUAAGAGGGGUUAUUUUAGUCCUUUACAUAAAUCUGGACCAUGUGUGAACUUAUUGGUAAAGGAGAAUAUUGUCUGGAUCUCUUUAUAAAUAAGUUCCCACUGAUGGGCUUAUUUGUAAUAUGCCCUUUUUGUUUUCGAUAUAGAUCGAAAAAGAAAAAAAAAAAAGUAAAAAACGAUCCCAGAAAUUAUUGCCGGGGACCAACGUCAUUAAUAAAAAAUAAAAAAGAAAAAGAAAGGAAGGGUAAUAAUGUAAAUAGAAGCACCACAAACUCCUGAUGCCCAUACGCGUUCAAACAAGACCCACAACACUCCGUCGUCACCUUAAAAUAGUCGCCCCAUAUUUUAUCCCAAAUCCUAAAUAUAACCCACACAUUUCCCAUUUCCUCAUUUUCCACUCAUUUCAUUUCUUCUUUUUUUUUAUUUGCACACCAAGCCCUUCUUCUUUCUUCUUCUUCUUCUCUUUCCCCACCGCUAACCUAGAACACCUUUCAUCCCGGCCGAAUCUAUGGCUCAGAAGCGAGACAAGGAAGAAACUGAGCUCAAAGUUCCCGAAAACAUACCGAUAUGCACCCCGCCGCAGACGAUUUCCCCUCCUCCUCAGAUUCCGUCCACCAGAUCGCCGGAGAUUUCAGAUCCGAAGAUUUCGGCCGCCGCUUGUAGCCAGAGGACCAGCUGCGCGAUUUCGCCCGAUCUGGUCAACCGUGCCGAGAAUCGGGGGUCGUUGAAGAGACCGAGGGAGGCGACUCGGUGUUCCGGUUCGGGUUGCAGGAAGAGAAUCGGGCUGGUCGGUUUCCGGUGCCGGUGCGGCGACGUGUUCUGCUCUGAGCAUCGGUACUCAGAUCGGCACGACUGCAGCUACGACUACAAGGCGGCCGGCCGGGACGCGAUUGCCAAGGAAAAUCCGGUGAUCCGAGCUGCGAAACUUCUCAAGGUUUGAUUGAAAAAAAAGCGAGAAAAAAAAACAAAAAUUAGACAAACGAUCAAACGAAAUCGACGGUCGAGAUGGUAGUUGAGUUUGAUUAAUUCUCUGUAAUGGGGGUUUGGACCGGGUCGGGCCGGGCCGGGCCACGGCGGGGGUUGUGCUUUGUUGUAAAUUCGGUGCAGGGUGGGGGGUAUUGUUGUCCUUUGAAUUAAUUAAUUAUUAUUAUUAUUAUUAUCUCAUAAAUUUAUUAAUUAAUUAUUUUUUUGGGAAGAAAAUAAUGGGGUUGCUUUUUUCUUGGUUGGCUGGUAAACGUAUUAUUGGAGAUUUAUUUAAUGUGGUUAGGCCGCAAUUAUGUGGUCUACAAAAAUAUAUAAAUACAAAAUGGAAAAAUAAUUUAUUAUUAUUGUUAUUAUUAUUAUAAUAUUAAUAAAAGUAGAGCAGCUUUAUUAGAUGAGAAGGAAGUUGCGUGGCGUGGCCAUGUUGGUGGUGGUGUUUGUUUAAUGGCUGGCUGAGUAAUAAGUACGAAAAUGGUGGGGUGGGUGGUUUAUAUAUGUGGAAUUCAAGAAAGGCAUCCUAAUUUAUUAAUAACUAUAUAUUUAAUUAUUGUAUGUGUAAUUCUCAGUAAAAAAAGAGAGAAAAAGAAAAUCAUAAUCAUUUUCUAAAAUUAAAAUUGGAAUAAAAAAAAUUGAAUUAUCAUAUAUACUUCGCUUUCAAUCUUAGUAAUCCUUCGAAAUUCAGAAUGAAAAAAAAUGUUAUAAAUUGGAAAUAAGAAUUUCGGGACUUCGUAAUGAAAAAUAUUUUUCCAAAAUUAAAAAAAAAUUACAUAUUGAAAUCGACAGAAUCCAGAAAAUUCAUUUGGAUUUCUGGACCUAAUACUAAUUGAAUUUGUGAGCAAGAUGCAGAAUAUAAUAAAGGUCGGUUGGUUCAUACUAUGCUACACUGGGUGAAACAUAUUGGAUAUAUUUUUACAAUUCAUAAGCACAUAAAAACAUACAUACAGACAUUUUUUUGAUGGAAAAUAACAUUAUAUUAAUUCACUCAAAAGCUAAAUCAUGAGCCAACUUAUUACCCAAAACGAUGAGGUUGAUGGCUCGCCUUGCUGAAGUGAUUCGAUAAUCGUCAAAUUAUCUCCUUCAAUCAUGAUCGAACUCCAAUGAUUUUCUUGAGCAACACGCAUAGCAUGAAGAACCGCAUAUGCCUCUCCAUCGACUACAUUUGGUCUGCCUUCCAUCUUCUUCACUUUCCACAAUAUGCACGAACCCCGAUGAUCUCUCGCCACCAUCGAAACACCGUAAUAAUCCUUAUUCGGUGGGAAUGCAACAACUACAUUAAUCCUGAUGACACCUGGCAUAUGUAUAGAUCGACGGAAACGAUAUAACCAGUAUAAUCUUCAUCGAGCAUAGUAUAUGAUAUGCCUAAUUGGGCCAACCCAAUGGACUUACAAUUUAUUUACCUACUGGGCCACGAGCCCAAUAUUGAAGACUAAUAUCACCGAGGCCCAAUCACCUUCAAAUAAGGUUUGGGCUCAACGAUCUCAUCUAUGGUAUACAUAACGAUAUAAUUCAUUUGUUAAAGGUACGCCCUAUUAUCCAAAUAAUACGAGGGGUCAUAUUCUCCCAACUAUUUCCAUGAUCCGCACGUCUCACUUGAGCGUCGGAGGGGUUUCCGCCGGAUCAACCCCCGGCCUAGUUCACGUGUUCUAUGAUCGCAGGUAUCUCAAGGUCAUCAAGCUCGUGAGCCAGUGAUCCACUCUGCUCUUCCAGCUCAUCAUAUCUCAACUAUUUGAGGUGAUCUAUUUUUAACAUCAUCAGUAUAUAAAAAAAAUCGGGUCAAUUGAUGGUGAGAUGCAAACAAAAUGAAACUCAAAUUUGAUAAAGCCCACAAAAUUGUCGUGAGAAUGUAAGUUACCCUUAAAUCUCUACCAAUUGGGCUUGAGCCCACAAGGCUUUGCAUAUAUUUGGAUUUAUUUAUCGGGCCGAAACUAUUUUAGCCCGUUCUCUUCCAUGCAUAGGAAUGGUAAAUUUGAACAAACCAAUCACCAUACAAUAUUUUUCAAAAAAAAUAAAAUAAAAUCACCAUACAAUAAAUCUGAAUUAUUUAGAAAAAAAAUCCUUUUUUUUUCCUUUUUAAAUUAUUUGUAAAAUUAAUGGUAAGGGUGGGGUGAUUUUUAUUGAAUACUAACAUUUUAUUGCAGACUAGUUUCAAUUGUGCGAAUCGAACAUAUUUAAUAUGGCGAAUAACUAUUUAUUCAUUAAUAGUUACACAAAUCGCAUUUCAAAAUUGCGCGUUUACAACAAAUAAAAAAAAUAAAAAAUCGAACAUAUUUAAUAUGGCGAAUAACUAUUUAUUCAUUAAUAGUUACACAAAUCGCAUUUCAAAAUUGCGCGUUUACAACAAAUAAAAAAAAAAAAAAAAAGUCUUAUUAGUGUCUUCUUUUUCUAGUGCUGUUUGGGUGUGUUGUGUAAGUAGGAAGUGGGAACUUUAUUUAUUUUCAGAAAAAAAAUGAAGAUUUUGCAUUUAGUGGGGUUUCUUUUUCUUUAAGUAGCAAAAGUUAAUUUAUUUGUGUAAAUGUGUCAGCAAAUGGAAUGCCAGAAAAUUUCAUCAUUUCUUUUUUAAUUAUUAUUUUUGGUGCAAUAUAAACAUGCACGAGGGGAGGGGAGCCUCUGUAUUGCUGCCAAUCAUUAACCCCAUCUCUUUCUUUCUUUUAAUUAUUAUUAGGGCAAAUUAGGUACACUUGUGAAGUAUGGCUACAUUACAAAAAAUCCUAUUUUUUGGUAAUUAUGGCUAUUCCUCCUUUUAAAUAUUUGUACAUAAAAUUUAUGUAAUUUGAUUAUUACCGAACCAAAUCGUAUAUUUAGCUCGGUAAACAGUAUGAAAUGUUGGCGUACCUAAAUUUUGGCUUGAUUUUACCGAUUUAACACCCUUAAAUUUGCCUCUGGAGAGAUAUUUUCGUAAAAUAAUACAUAGUUGAUGGGGUGGAUGUAAUUACUUAAACAAGAGGGAGAUUUUCGUAUUUGACCAUAACUUAGGAGGUGGCCAUAAUUUACCCUUAUUAUUAUUGUUAUUUUUUUAUUUAUAAUUUUUUUUAAAUAAAGAAAACACAUAUAUCUAUAUGAUGAUAAUAUUUUUUUCCCCAGUGCACAUUUCGUAAUAUUUGGUUUGAAAAUAAUUAAAUUAUAUAAUUGAUUAAUUAAUUAAUGUGCGGAUUGCUUUAUAGUUUAUUCUGUGGAAAGAGGAUUAUUUUAAGACAUAGUUUCCAUUAGAUAUCCAUUAUUAUCUUAUAUUCUUUUGCAUUUUGUCCAAAAGCUUAUCGGAAAAUCAGCCCAAAUUUAAUUGUGCCUGUGACGCUACCAUUUGGAAAUAUUCGUCUAAACUUUGACUAAUUUGUCUCUUCUUAUUUCACAAAAUUCCAUUUCCAAUUCUGUUUCACCUCUUCAAUCGAUGAAUAUGUAUAUUUUUAGACUAUUAAUUGCUGACAAAUCUGGAAAGAACUAAUAUUAGCUUCAUGACCGAUUCUGACUAUAGGCGGGUGAGAUAGUCGCCUAACUAAGCCCCGUUUUUUAGAAAAUAUUAGGGGCCCCCAAAUAUAUUAUUUGACAUAGUUUAUAUAUUUAUUGAAUUUUUGUAUUCAUACUUGCAUUUCAUAUAAUGAAAUAUCUUAGAUUAAUUAUUAGUUAGAUAUUGAGUUCUUUUAUUAAUAAUCUUUAACUAUCUCCUCUGAGUAAAGAAGUUNNNNNNNNNNNNNNNNNNNNNNNNNNNNNNNNNNNNNNNNNNNNNNNNNNNNNNNNNNNNNNNNNNNNNNNNNNNNNNNNNNNNNNNNNNNNNNNNNNNNNNNNNNNNNNNNNNNNNNNNNNNNNNNNNNNNNNNNNNNNNNNNNNNNNNNNNNNNNNNNNNNNNNNNNNNNNNNNNNNNNNNNNNNNNNNNNNNNNNNNNNNNNNNNNNNNNNNNNNNNNNNNNNNNNNNNNNNNNNNNNNNNNNNNNNNNNNNNNNNNNNNNNNNNNNNNNNNNNNNNNNNNNNNNNNNNNNNNNNNNNNNNNNNNNNNNNNNNNNNNNNNNNNNNNNNNNNNNNNNNNNNNNNNNNNNNNNNNNNNNNNNNNNNNNNNNNNNNNNNNNNNNNNNNNNNNNNNNNNNNNNNNNNNNNNNNNNNNNNNNNNNNNNNNNNNNNNNNNNNNNNNNNNNNNNNNNNNNNNNNNNNNNNNNNNNNNNNNNNNNNNNNNNNNNNNNNNNNNNNNNNNNNNNNNNNNNNNNNNNNNNNNNNNNNNNNNNNNNNNNNNNNNNNNNNNNNNNNNNNNNNNNNNNNNNNNNNNNNNNNNNNNNNNNNNNNNNNNNNNNNNNNNNNNNNNNNNNNNNNNNNNNNNNNNNNNNNNNNNNNNNNNNNNNNNNNNNNNNNNNNNNNNNNNNNNNNNNNNNNNNNNNNNNNNNNNNNNNNNNNNNNNNNNNNNNNNNNNNNNNNNNNNNNNNNNNNNNNNNNNNNNNNNNNNNNNNNNNNNNNNNNNNNNNNNNNNNNNNNNNNNNNNNNNNNNNNNNNNNNNNNNNNNNNNNNNNNNNNNNNNNNNNNNNNNNNNNNNNNNNNNNNNNNNNNNNNNNNNNNNNNNNNNNNNNNNNNNNNNNNNNNNNNNNNNNNNNNNNNNNNNNNNNNNNNNNNNNNNNNNNNNNNNNNNNNNNNNNNNNNNNNNNNNNNNNNNNNNNNNNNNNNNNNNNNNNNNNNNNNNNNNNNNNNNNNNNNNNNNNNNNNNNNNNNNNNNNNNNNNNNNNNNNNNNNNNNNNNNNNNNNNNNNNNNNNNNNNNNNNNNNNNNNNNNNNNNNNNNNNNNNNNNNNNNNNNNNNNNNNNNNNNNNNNNNNNNNNNNNNNNNNNNNNNNNNNNNNNNNNNNNNNNNNNNNNNNNNNNNNNNNNNNNNNNNNNNNNNNNNNNNNNNNNNNNNNNNNNNNNNNNNNNNNNNNNNNNNNNNNNNNNNNNNNNNNNNNNNNNNNNNNNNNNNNNNNNNNNNNNNNNNNNNNNNNNNNNNNNNNNNNNNNNNNNNNNNNNNNNNNNNNNNNNNNNNNNNNNNNNNNNNNNNNNNNNNNNNNNNNNNNNNNNNNNNNNNNNNNNNNNNNNNNNNNNNNNNNNNNNNNNNNNNNNNNNNNNNNNNNNNNNNNNNNNNNNNNNNNNNNNNNNNNNNNNNNNNNNNNNNNNNNNNNNNNNNNNNNNNNNNNNNNNNNNNNNNNNNNNNNNNNNNNNNNNNNNNNNNNNNNNNNNNNNNNNNNNNNNNNNNNNNNNNNNNNNNNNNNNNNNNNNNNNNNNNNNNNNNNNNNNNNNNNNNNNNNNNNNNNNNNNNNNNNNNNNNNNNNNNNNNNNNNNNNNNNNNNNNNNNNNNNNNNNACACGAAAUGCAUAAAAAAUAUAAAAUUGUGGUUUCGUACAUCGUAAAAAAACACUAUUUCGUGCUUCUUUACACGAAAUGCCUUUAUCCAUUUCGUUUUAGGGAAUACGAAACGUUCAUGCACGAAAUAUAGUUGGGAAAGGGUUAAAGAGAAUUGCGGUUUUUUCUUUGAAAAUUACAAAUGAAAUAAAGUCGCACUGCAAAGUGGUAAAAUAUGUUCUAUGAAUAGCAUUUCAGUUUUGAGAAUGACCCUCAUUAGAUUAGGAUAUUGAUUAAAUGUUAGUGGAAUCAUAUGGCCGACAAGCACCAUCAAAUGUACAAAACCUUUUUUCUUACCAAAAGAACAUAGGUAAUAGGUUCACAAGUUGGAUAUGAGUGGGAUUUAUUAAUUUUAAAUAUUGUAUUUAAAGCUAAUUCUUUUUUAUUUAAUUUUUUUUUUCUUGGCUUUCACUUUUAACUUAGGUGGUAGGUUGCAAUUUUUCCUCCGGCCAAAUGAUGGCAGACAAGAACACAUUUUUUGAGCCUUUGAAAUGUUGAUUUGCUUUGGGCCUUUUCUUAUAAGAAAUCAUGGUGGGCCAAUUUUUGUUCACUAUACUCUAAAAUUGUGUCCAAAAGUCUAUAUAUUGUUUUUUUUUAAAUAUUUAUUGCUACCUAAAGUGAGGAAAUUGUUGGAUUUCUUUAAGUGGGAGGACCCUUUUCAUAUAAAUUUUAUUUCAUAGGGAGAUGUUGACAUUGGUUACUAUUUUUGUGCUCUAAAAAUUCUUUCCAAAACCGGGAAAUUCUAUGCUGCACCGAGCUAUCUAUUCCUGAUGUUUGUUAAUCGUAGAUCUGCACGUGAAUGUGUAUGUGUGCUUAGUAGGUUAUUAUUUAAUCUCAUCUACGGUUUAUCAAUCGAUUGUCACUAAUAAGCUGAAUUUUCAUUAAAUAAUAUCAUUAAUGUAUGAUUAUAUUUAAAUUGAAAAUAUUAUAUAGAAUUUUUAUGUAAUACCAGAUUUUAACAAAUUUUAAAACUAAAUCGAAAAAUGAAACUAAAUCCAAUCUAAUAUAAUUCAAAUUAAUUCGAUACGUAUAUAAUAAUUAUAAUUGAAUAUGACUCAUGGACUUAUUGCAAUUAGGAAAAUUUAUGGAGAAAUCAAAUUUAAUACUAAAUUGAGACAAAUGUAAAUUAUUAAAUAUUAUUUCACAAAAAUAAAAAAUAUAUAUAAAACCAAAACCAAAUUGGCAUUCUGAUUUCGUCAAUCCAUAGCAUGUCGAACAAAAUAGACAAAUCAGAAGCUAGAAAGAAUAAAUUAUAGUCUUAGCUUUGCUUUUCAUAGACUUCUAGGUUAAGAAGAUUCUAUCAAUUAUUCAAUUUUAAUUUCAAGCCAAUCCAAUACGUACAUUUCUACAUGGAUACUUACAUAAUAUGUAAUAGAGUUAAAUUUCUAUAAAUUAAUAUAAUAUUUAUGACUAAUAAAAUUUUAUUAAUUUAACUAAAUAUUAAAUUACUAAAUUGAUAAAUUACUACAUUUACAUCGAGUCGGACCGAGAGAAAUUGUUAUUUAAUUAAUAUUAUUAAUUUGUCGAAUAUUAAUUUAUUGAGAUUAAUUUAAUUGUAUUUACCUUUCUAAAAAAGACAGAUUCUAAGUACCAUAAUUAUUACGAGUAUAUAUUUACUCUUCAGCAACCAGGAAUUUUGAGUGGCGAGUAAGGUAUAAUCAAACUGCAAUCAUAAAUUUCGUGUGACAAAGUGUACAUUUCACGAUCCUUUGAAACAAAUAAAUAAUAAUUCAAAUUAAACAAUAAAGAAAUGCGUUUUAAUGAAUAUAUAAAUGAAAUCAAUAAUAAUCAUAGAUUCCUUCUUCAAUUAUUAAUUUAAUUUGCGGGUACAACACUUAAAAAAGAGUUUGUUCAACCAUCUUUACCUAAUCCGUGCAAUUAGUUCUCAGCUAAUUGCACGUAAUUACAUUUAAUAAUUUAAAUGAGAUGGUUAGACUCGUUACAAUAUAAUUGAGUUGGUAUCUAAUCUUACUUAUUAUUUAUUAAACGUUCUUGCAUGAAUGGAAGCUAUAUUUUCAAUAUUUUAUGUUAUAGUAAAAUUCUACAAAGCCUCACAUAUUUUGGUGUAAUUCAAACACAUCUUCUAAUGUUGAGAUUCCAAAUUUUCUUGCCCGUAUGAGUAUAGUUCAACUGUUUCGAACGAUAAAUUGGUGAAAGAUCCUAGAAUUUGAGUAUUGACAGACGUAACGAGCGUUCGUUUCUUGUGGACAUCAAGCCCGCUACACUAAUGAUAUUCCUCAAUAAGAAAAAUAGUUGAACUAGAGGAUGAGGGCUCGGAGGCGAGAUAUUUCGCCUUUUUUUGUUGCAAUAUUUCAAAUUUCCCUUCUAAAUUAGAUUACAUUUAUCAUUAAGACUACAAAUCACGGAUAACUGGAUUUGAUUGAUGAGAUGUGCCUAGGGGUGUCAUAGGUCGAUUUUAUAGGACAACCGACUUAACCCAUAAAUUACGGCUGCUAAUCAAUCAUAAUAUCAACCGAAAUAUGAAAAUCGAACGUAUAAUUUCAACAAGCCCACGUUUAAUUUUAUCGAAUGUUAGUUGCGAAAAUAUCGAUGGGAUAGUUGUUGUUAUCCGUUAUUUCAUAUUUGACCUAUAAAAUUUAGAUAAAUAAUCGAUCAAAUGCGAUUAUCAUUGACUCAUAAUCGAUUGACCCGACUCAUGAACAAUAAUAAAUAUGACUUAAAUAAUUCUUUACACAACUAAACUAAAUUAAAUGAAUCCAAUUGUAUUUUCGGCCAUUAGUGUAAGCCACAUGCUUCCAUUAAAUGCAUCAAUUAUAGAGAAUUCUAUUAUUCAGCUAAUUACAGUACAAUCAUCAAAUAAUAUAAAGGGUUAAAUACAGUUUGCACCCCUAAAGUAUAUCCUCUGUAACACUUACCCCCUUAAAGUAUCAUUUGUAACACUUACCCCCUCAAGCACAAUUUAAUUUGUAUUUUUAAAUUUUAAUACCUUAAAAAAUUAUUUUGUUGAAAGGAAUAACUAAAAGAAUAAGUAAAUUAUACAACUAAAAAUAUCUGUUAAAAAAUACAAUAUUUUAAAAUUUGAAACUAUUAUCUUGCGUUAGAUAUUUUUUCAAUAAAUAACAUCUAAUUGUUGUUGGACCAAUUAAUCGAAAUACUCUAUCGAUAAAUUUUAAGAAAUCAAUACAUAACUAAUAAAAAUCUUAAGUAUUUAAAUUUAUUUUAGUUUAUUAAUUAUUUAUAUAUAUUUUCAUUCAUUAUUACCCAAUAUAUAUUACUUUUUAAUUUUUUUUUCAAUAAUUAAUUUUAGUUACUUUUCAAUUUUCUAUGAACCGUUAAUUAUUAGAUUGUUAUGUUUAUUAUUUUUUAAAUUUUAAGUAUAAAAUAAUUGAUGUUGAGGGGGGUAAGUGUUACAAAUGAUACUUUAAGGGGGUAAGUGUUACAUGAGCUAUACUUCAGAGGUGCAAAGUGUAUUUAGCCCUAAUAUAAAUAAUUGUUCAUAGGGUGACCUAAAUUUUUUUAUUAGUUUUUUUUUAUUUGGAGAUAAUAUAAAUAUCCAACGAAGACCCUUAAAUUCGUUAAUUCGGGCACGGUUGCAAUUUCGCAUAAAUUAUGGGGAGGCCCAUGUGAUUAAUUGAUAACCGUACAACCCAUAUUUUGUCCCUUACUAAAAGCUCGAAGAACAUCUUGCACGUGUGCCCCCUCAUCUUUUAACUAAUUAAAAAACAUGCACACCAUUUACUAAGCCAACUCAUAAUAGUACUAAAAUGACCUAACAUGAACAAGCACAUCUGUACUUGGAAUAUAUUUGCAUUUUUUUUUGCUGGAUUCAAUUAAUGAUAUUACACAAGAACAUGUAUACAAUUGUUAAGUUCGCAUGAAUAUAACUCAACUGAUUUUUAGGUUGGUGCAAAAUUCUGAUUGAGUAUCAGAUAGAUGCAAUUUGGGAAUUUCAACGUAAUGAAGGUUGAUUCCUUGUAUGCAUCAGAUCCAAGUUUACUAUACUAACUGACCGCCAAGUCAGCAUAAUUUACAUUCCUCCAUCAAAACUUGUUAAGCCACGGGAUGGAAGCUCUAGGGUCGAUGAAUUUUGCGUUUUGGUGCAAUGUAUACAAUUGUUAAGACUACACAAAGAUGUUGUAAAUAUAAAUAGAUACUGUGAGUAAUACAAAAUAUUUGUAAUAAGAUCCAUUGAACCAUUUCAAAAUCAAAUUGACUUUUUCUAAGUUGAAAUUAUGAUGCCGAAUAUAUUUAUUAGUCCAAACAUAGGAAAAAAAAAGGAAAUUAGAUGCUAUACUUGACUAUUUACAUUGAACGAAUUUCAGUCGAAAAUUUAACUAAAUAAUUAUACAUUAAGGACACACGUAUGAGUUUAUUCAAAUAAUGUAGAUUUACAAUUGAAAUCCGGCCUUUUUAGUGUAAAUAUUCGAACGUAGCAUCUAAUUAUCCGACCAAAAGUAACCGUAACUAAAACUACAAAGCAAGCUCAAGAAAUUCGUUUUCGAGAGACGAAAGUAAAGGAGCACAAAAUUUAAAUCCUUGGUUUAAAAUCGUACCUAACUUUUAUUUAUUUUAUUUUUUAAACUUAACUUUAUAAAUAAUUAUUAGUGUACAUGUAUUAUUAGUACGUAUUCAUGUAUUUCAACCAAUUUAACAUCUAUUUACAGCACGUUCUUUUGUUUCCGAUAUUUUGUUUAUAUACGUUCGUGUGUCUCUAUAUAUAUAGAUACAUACAUAUACAUAAAUAUAUAUAUAUAUAUAUAUAUGUACUCGCCCCUUCUGCCAAUCUGACAUUCUCUCUUAACUCCACAAAUAUAUAAAAUAUGGAUAACAAUAAAGCUCCACCGCCGCCGCCGCCGCCGGAGCUCGACAUAGACAACCUUCGCGCCACCAAAGUACUCGGCAAAGGCGCCACCGGCACUGUUUUCCUCGUCCCCGACAAUUCACGCGGCGGCCAACCCUUCGCCCUCAAGGUGGUCGAGAAAUCCUCCGCCCACAGCAAGCACCACGCCGACCGCCGCGCCCGCCACGAGAUAUCCGUCCUCAGCCGCUUCUCCGCCGCCGCGGAGCCUCACCCUUUCCUCCCCCACCUGAUUGGCUCCGCCGAGAAUCAGGAGUUCAUCUGCUGGGCCAUACCCUUCUGCCCCGGCGGAGACCUGAACGUGCUCCGGCACCGGCAGAACGACCGCGUUUUCUCCCCCGCCGUCAUCCGCUUCUACUUGGCCGAAAUCAUCUGCGCCGUCGAACACCUCCACGGCCAAGGCAUUGUGUACAGAGACCUCAAGCCGGAAAAUAUCCUCGUGCAACAGUCCGGUCACGUGACACUCACGGACUUCGACUUGUCACGUGACUUGGUCCCCAGAAAAUCCGGAAUCUUCUACUCCGACACCGACGAAGAAAAAUCAUCCAAACAAUACCCGCAGGCGAAGGGGAGUAAGAUCACGCGCUUCGUAAUUCCCAAAAGAGGUAAUAAUAAGAAGGGGGUGAAGAAGGCGAAGAGCGCGCGUGUUUCUCCCGUCAGCCGUAGAAACCCUAACGAAUUAAUCUCAGCCAACGAGCGCUCCAAUUCAUUCGUCGGCACCGAGGAAUACGUCUCGCCGGAGGUCAUACGCGGCGACGGCCAUGAAUUCGCCGUCGACUGGUGGGCCCUAGGCGUCCUCUGCUUCGAAAUGCUGUACGGUGCCACGCCGUUCAAGGGGAAGAAUCGGAAGGACACGUACCGGAAAAUUCUCUUCGCCGAGCCGGAGUUCAUCGGUAAACCCAGCGCGUUGACCGACUUGAUCGGAAAGUUGCUCGAAAAGGACCCCACGCGCCGCCUGGGGUACCACGGCGGCGCGUCGGAGAUCAAGGAGCACGAGUUCUUCCGGGGGCUGAAUUGGGAUUUGCUGACGGAGGUGCUGCGGCCGCCGUUUCUGCCGUUAAGGGACGAAGAGGAGGCGGCGGAAGGUGAGAUUGGCAUAAGGGAGUAUUUUCAGAAGCUGAAGCUACCGCCGCCGUCGCCAUUACGGUCGCCGUCACUGGAUGAUUGUAGUAACGGUUUGUCAUUAACGGAGUUCUGACUGACACGCACGUGUAAAGGGCUUUGAUUUUAAUUUGUUUUUCUUCUGUAAUUAUUAAUUUUAUAUUAUCUGUAAAUAAAAUAAGGGUAUGACUGGAAACUUGGCGUUAAUUAAGGGAUAGGUGUCAGUGGUUAGAUAUUAGAGAUGAGAAUUAGAUUUGAUGUAAUUUAAGCUAAUCAUAGUUGAAUUGGUGGUCUACUCCCACACGGUGGCGCGUGGUAUAUAAUCACCACACAGCGGUUUAAAAGGCUGCUGCUUGUAAUGAUGUCCAAGAUUUUAUCGUGUACCAUUGGAAUUUUAAUAUUCAUGGUUUCAAGUUUUAUUAUUUUGUUUUCUGGUGAGAAUUCAUGAAUUUUUUUUGCUCCGAAUUGUAAAUAUUGUAUUGAUGAAAUAAACCGAGUAAUUUUUUAUUUAUAUGUAUAGAUCUAUACACAUUUAUGAUAAAAUACGACUAAAUUUAACACAAAACAUAGUGAAUUCUUAACUUGGAAAAAAAGAUAGAAAAUUUGGGUCCGAAUUAAAGUAUCUAGGACGAAAUGAUACGCGUAUUUCAUGUUACUUUGUGUGAAGCAAACUGAUACUCUCUGUGUUCCAUAUGUCGUUUUUCACCGUUGCAUAAUUCUUAAGAAAUUAAAUAGAUGUCUUGGUUUUAGAAAAAAAACAUAUAAAAAAGUUUAAAAUAACUUUUAUUAUUUAAUGAUUUAUAAGAGAGAGUUUGUGCUUAUAGUUGAAUUAACAAGGUUAAAUCACGAAAACAUGCAUUCGAUAUGUAUUAGAAAUCUAAAGUAACAGAUAAUAUGGAAGAAAAAAAUUAAAAGUAAAAGGGAAAAAAAUGUGAAAUUUGAGUUGGUCUAAUGAUGAGAAAUUUAGAGGGGUGACUUGAGUAGCAUUUUUGCUUUUUAUUGUGAUGGUAUUAAGUCAGCUAGAUUAGAUGUCAUGUGACAAAGUCGUGUAUGAAUGAGUCGCAUUUUAAAUUUUAGAUAACUCAAUAUAUUAAAAUUGUUGACAUUGUUCAUUGAUUAAUGUAUAUGUUUCUCAUCCGACAUCCAAGUUUGGUAAUUCAAAAUUUGAUUAGAAAACAAAUUCAAUGUUUCGAUUUCUACAAAAUUUGAAUUUAAAAAUGAUCAAAAUCGCGUUUGAUGUCGAAACAAUAUUAUUAAAGCUCGAACGAGACAUUUAUCACGUCAAUUUACACUUGAAUCCACAAUAUUUCAAUCCACCGGCAGGGCAACUUAAAAGUUAGUCUUGAAUUGUACCAAACGGCAAACGUGACAUUCAAUUCAAAUUUAGUAAAAAGAAAUAAAAAUAAAAAUGGCCCCUAUUCCCUACCGAAAUGGCCUUUUGGGGACAAAAAAAACUAAGUAGGGGACAAUUUUAAAUAUAUUUAUAAUUUCAGAUUAUGCUAUAAUGUUUUUAGUUUAUACUUUUUAGGCUUAAUAAUAAAAAUACAUGUGAUACCUGGUAAUGGUCCUGUAUUUGCUUUAUUGCCCUUAUUUUGAGGAUUAGUUUUUAAAUAUAUAUUACUGAAAGGUAAGCAUCAAUUUUAUUUUAUUUUUUGCUUUUAAUUUCUUUAGUUGCUUAAAAGGUGUGCCUUGGUAUCAUUACUUGACAGUAUUUCUGAAAUUACGGAUCUGAAUUUGAUGAUAUUUUUUUGCCUAACUUCCACCUUUAUCACACAUUGUAUAAUAAUGAUAAUUGAUUAGUCGUCCCGUAAAUGAUGGCUUAGCGGUUGAAGUAAGAGAGUUUGUGUUAAAUAACUAUGGUUUAACUUGUCGACUGUCACUAGGUUAAACUUAUCAUACAUUGCUAGUCUAGUGUGAUUUACGUUUCUUGUAAAGCUUACAAGUUAUUAUACGAGAGUGUACAUUUAUCCCUUGCACCUAUUUCUGAAAUAUUAUACAUGUCAUUAUAAACUAAAUUUAGAUAAAAUAUUUGAUCGGAAGCAAAUGUAUGUAAUAGUAGGGUAAAUUACGACCACCCCCUACAUUACGGCCAAAAUUACGAAAAACCCAUCUUGUUUGGGUAAUUACAGUCACCCCUCCCUUUCAAAUAUUUUUACAUAAAAUUUAUGUAAUUCGAUUAUUUACCGAACGAAAUCGUAUAUUCACUUCGGUAAAUGGUAUGAAAUGUUGGCGUACCAAAAUUUCGGUUCGGCUUUACCGAUAUAACAUUCCUAAAUUUAUCUGUAGAAGGGUAAUUUCGUAACAUAAUAUAUAGUUGAGGAUGGUGACUAUAAUUAUUCAAACUGGUGGGGAUUUUCGUAAUUUAACCAUAACCGAGGAGUGCACAUAAUUUGACCAAUAAAGUAUAAUUAAAAAAAGAAAAAUAAUCUAUUGAGGAGGUGAAAGGACACCCGUGUGCCUGAAAAACAAAUGGGCCAAUAAAGUUGCAAAGCUUUGGGGACCUCAAAACUGCUUUUACAGAGAUUAAAUAAAAAGAAUGAGAAAAUAAAUAAAGCUUUUUUCCAUAAAAGAAACACCAAAUGUUACUUUAGACUGUAAAAAGGUAAACAAGAUAUAAUUAUAAGGGUAAAUUCGACUUUACCUCCUUGUACUCUGCCCGUACUCUUAAUUUCGUCGAUUUACCGCCUUGUACUUGUACAAUUUCCCAAUACAACCCUCUUCGUCAAUUUUUUUCGAUUUUGACUCUGACGCCACUUGGUCAAGAUUCAAAAUAUUGACGUAAAUAUUGAAUUUUUUCGAUUUUGACUCUCGAGAUUAGAAAAGAGAAAGUUUCACAUAUUCAUAUAUUUUUUUUCUUUGCACUGGGUGGAAUCGAUCAAUUUUUUGGUCUUGAUUUUUACUAAGUUAGGUGUUCAAUUUGGAGAUAUCUUGAAAGGGGAAGUGGUGGGACAAGAAGAAUUGACAAUAUUGACGGAGGAGAAACGACGCUUUAUAGGCAGUGGCGAUUUUGUAAUUUGCAGAGUUGACCAAAUGGCGUCAGAGUCAAAAUUGACAAAAGUUGAAGGAAAGGGCUUUAUUGGGAAAUUGUACAAGUACAAGGGGGUAAUCGAUGAAAUUGAGAAUACGAGGGGGUAAAGUGAUUCUCAGGCAUAGUAUGAGGGGGUAAAAUGGAAUUUACCCUCAUUAUAAUUAGCAAUAUUUAAGAAGAAAAAAAAAAGACAAAUAUAAACUUGUACAAGGCCUGUUACGGUUCCCGCCAAAAUUCACACUGUUAGAUUUGUCACAAAAUUCAAUUUGAUUUAACCAGCUGACAAGGAUUGGAAUUUGCACCUGAAUGGGUCUUCUUUUUUGCCCAUGUGGCAGGAUGUAGAACUUUGUCCAAAUUACGAAAAUACCCCUCCGUUCUCAUACUAGUUCAAACAUUCUGAUUGCCACGUCUCCAAAUCGAGAACGGAGAGAAAGCGGCAGAUUCCGAAGCCAUCCCGUUCCCCGUUUUGUUCACCGUCACACGCUCGUUAGCGUCCAUCAGAACAUCCGAAUCCCGCCAGAAUUUGAUGAUGUGGAGGCUCUCCUCCUCCGUCGACCGCUGCAAGAUGAUUCUAGAAGCAUACCCUUUCUUCCUCAUCUCAAGACACAACUCCAACGGGUUAUUUGCCGCUAGCGUGACCAAAUACAACCACCCCUUAUCCGACAAAAGGCCGUCGGCAACCGGCAAUAUCCGAUCAAUAACCCUCCGUCCGUUUUCACCGCCGGCCCAAGCCGCCGCAAUGCCGCUGCAGCCGACCUCCUCCUCCGGCGUCGGCACGUAAGGCGGGUUCACAACAAUCACGUCCACGGAUCUUGCCAGGCGCUUCUCGAGGCCCAAUGCGAUGUCGGUGUUCACUACCUCUGCGUGACAGCCGUGUGACUCUAGGGUUUCCCGAGUCACCGUCACCGCGUGGGGGUUGAUGUCUGUGGCGAUGUAGUAGGCCCCGCCGGAAUAUUCCUUACCGAGGAGAAGGGAUAGGGAAGUGAUCACGUACCCGCUACCACACCCUAUUUCCAUGCAGAUCGAAGGGCGGUGUUUGAUUAGGUUUGAUCUAUCGGCUAGAAGUGCGUCUACCAAUGCGAAUGAGUCAUCGCAUGGGUCGUAUACUUGUGGAUGGGAACUCAUUAAUUGGAUUCUUGCAAUUUUGGGGAGCAUGUUGUGGAAACCUUAGUUAGAGAACCCUGUAACAAAGCCAUUUACAAAUUUAGUGCAAAAACAUUACGGUUCUAGAAUCAAUGCAAUAUUAGUCUCGAAAGCUCGACACAAUCAAAAUAAAGCGCAUAGCAAAGAAGCAAUAGGAAGUUAAGGAACCAAUAUAGCAACAAACAAAAAAAUACCUAUAUCGUAAAACAUACUACUACGUUCACUAGUAAAGAGUAAAGAGUUAGAAGCAUUAAAAAAAAAUUGUAUCGAGGCAGCAAAUCAUCAUAAACGUAGCUAAAUUUUAAGCAGUAAACGAUAUUGAGAUCGACAGUGACAGCAUGACAAAGUUGUUGAAAAAUAGCAACUCAAGUUUCUUACAGAAGAUGCUAAAUUCGUGACCGAAGCAACUCAAGUUUCUUUUGAAAGGUGCUAAAUUCAAGCAACUCAAGUUUCUUUCGAAAGGUGCUAAAUUCGUGAACGAAGCAACUCAAGUUUCUUUCAGAAGAUGCUACAUUCGUGACCGUUUCGGAAGGUGCUAAAUUCGUGAACGAAGCAACUCAAGUGUCUUUCGAAAGGUGCUAAAUUCGUGACCGAAGCAACUCAAGUUAGCUGUGAUCAAAUCUAAAGGUGCUAAAUUCUUGACAAAGCAGCUCGAGUUUCUUUCUCAAAGCACAAAAACAAAGCGGAUAAUCUUCGAAUUCAUAUAUAUACAUUUGUGUUGCUUUCUUCAUUCUCCAAAUUUUCUAAAAAUAGAACAAUCAACACCAACACAAAGUUGACACGAACAAGAACAAGGAGCUGAUGUAUAUUUUAGGCUUGUGAAUUUGAAGGAUUUAACCCUAAUUAAAAGAUGAACAUAAUUGAAUUUUUUUAUCCAACUCCAAAUUGACAAAAUAGAUUCAACAUUUAUCAUUCAUGGAAGAUGAAUACCUAACAGCUCAAAUUUGCGGAAGGCUUCCUUCACCCACGAAAUACUAGUAACUAAAAAGUGAAUUACAAUCCGAUUCAAUAAAUCUGUUUUCCGCAAUUGUAGACGAUGAUAUAAAAGAAUAAACAGAAAAUAUUCUGAAUCUAAACCUAAAAUCAAAAUAAAGAGGGGUUGAUAUUACCAGGGGAUUUCGUGACGAACAGCUGAAGAAAGUGAGUGACGGCGCCGCCGAACAGAAACUAAAUUUAGCCCAAUUUACAAAUUUAGCACAAAAGCCCAAUUGGAUCACAAUUUUGGUACACAAACUUCUCACUUUUCAUUUUCUUCUUUAUUGGGCCUUUCUUUGUUCGACCUAUCUUUCAGUUUCUAAAAAGAAAAUAAAAAAAUUCGGGAGUGUAAAACUAAUUUUACUUUCGUUUCGAAAAUAUCAGAAAUCGAAAUUUUAUAAUUGGAAAAAAAAAUGUACUUGUUUCAUAAUUAAAAUAAUUCUGAUCAAAAUCCUCAAAAUUCCAUUUUUUUUUUUCAUUUACCUACAAUAUAAGUACAUAACACUUUGAUUAAUAUACUUUCCGAUUUUUUUUCAUCGAAAUCCACAAAAAUAUUCAGAUUGAAAUCGACGAAAAUCGUAAAUCCAGUUCGAAUUUCGAACAAAAAACUUCUAUCCAACUCAUUUGAGCGAGGCAUCAAAAUAAUGCAUCCUUUUAUUUUAUUAUGUCUCCUUCAAUGCUUAAUUAUGCUCGUGUCACUUUCGAAAUUAAAUCGAAGUUCUAUUUCUAGUAGUUCAUGGUCACAUUUAAGCAUUUAUUUUGAACUCUCCAAUACAGUAGAGGUGAUAACUAUGUAUGCAUAAUUGCAUAUUAUUAAAUUGGACCACAUUAUUCACAAUAAUAAAUAAUAAAUAAUUAAAACCUAGCUGAAUGACUUGUCGAAUUACAAUUCCAGUUUAAAUAGAAUAAAAAGAAAGGUGGAAAGACAGAAGGAAACCGACCAAAUAAUUCAAGUCACGGGUGGUGGUCACACUCGCAAAGAUGACCCACAGGUUACCAUAGCGAAAGCAACCAAACCAAGAUUAUAACUGAUCAAUGACUCUUGAUAAUCAUAGCUAACUGCAAACUCGGUUUUUGUAUAUGCUACACUCGAUAAACUAGAAAUAUGUCGACUGAUCUUGACAUUUUAUCUACACAUAAUAAUACACACAUUCAUGUUUUUUUUAUAUAUAUAUAUAUAUAUAUUAUUUACUUUAUAAUAUUUCAAAUAAUUAUUAUUAUGAUAAAAUUCCUACAAUCUUACAACAUUUUAUGAUGGAUCUUUAAUGCAAUAAAUUUUAUAUUUUAAUUUUUUUUUUAUAUAAUUUGAAGAGUUAUUAUUAUUUUUUUUUUGGCAAAUUACUCAAAAUAAUUAACAAAUGGCAUUAAUAUUAUUUUGCCGGUUUUCAUAUUUAAAAAUAAAAUAAAAACUGCAGUAAUUAAACCCCUAUUAUAAUCAUCUAAACACUGCGUUUAACAACAAAAACGAUUGCGUUUACGGUUCCUUAAAACACACAGCCAAGAAAAACCAGAGACGAAAGAACGCCUACAACAGAAACCACACGUGUGUACAUGUCAGAUAUACGUGAAUUUCAUUUGUCCUUUUUUUCUCCUCAAAAGCUGAUCGCCGUUAAAUUUGACGGUGAAAUCUCAGUCCGUCAGUCAGUCAUUACCACUUCUUACCCCAAUCCCCAUUCCCAAAUCACUAGCGCUCAUCCCAUCCGUGAUUCUGCUUUGACGGUUUGUUAGAUCCCCUCUCUCUCUCUCCUCUUUCUCUCUCUAGAAAAUACCCAAGUAGGUAUGUGGAAUCUAUCACUCAUUACAUUCUUACCUUAAACUACAAAUCUUUCGUACCCACACAAAUAAAUAACCACUGAUUGCAACCCCUACAUUUACGAAAAUCAAACUGUUUUUAGAUAUAUAUACACAUAACACAUUACCCACUGGAUUUCUUUUCUCCAUGAUUCCAUCUAUACAUACAUAUAUACAUACAUACAUACAUUCAUACAUUCAUACAUACAGCGGCUGCAAUAAAUAAAUGAGGCGGAUGCAGCAGUGUUAGUUACCACGUAUCUAUACCUACUCACCAUACAAAACCCCUCUCUUCACACUUACACCAAAAUCAAGAAAGAAAAAAAAAAUGAAUCGUUCGAUUUUGGUUAAGGUUCUUCUGUUAGUUCUUUAUCAGUUAUGCCGACAAAUUUUCUGUAAGGAGUGCACAAACAUACCCCCAUUGUCUUCACACACUCUGCGGUACGAGCUUGAAAGUUCGGAGAACCAGACGUUGAAGCAAGACAUGUACUCACAUUAUUACCACCACCACCUGACGCCGACAGACGACUCGGCGUGGUCGAGUUUGUUUCCUCGGAAGAUGCUAAAGGAAGAAGAAAAAGAUGAUGGCGAACAGAGAUGGGCUAUGUUGUAUCGAAAUAUCAAGAAAGGGAUCGUUGAUAACAACGGAGGCGGAGAUUCGUUUCUGAAGGAGGUUUCGUUGCAUGACGUGAGGCUCGAUCCCGGCUCGAUAUUCGGACAGGCGCAGCAGACGAAUUUGGAGUAUCUAUUAAUGCUAGAUGUCGAUAGUUUGGUGUGGAGUUUUCGUAAGACUGCCGGUUUAUCGACACCUGGCGAACCGUACGGUGGCUGGGAGAAACCGGAGAUGGAGCUUCGCGGUCAUUUUGUAGGUUCGUUUUUUUUCGUACUAACGAAUCCCUUUUUUUUCUUUAAUUUCUUCUUUUCUUGUCUGAUUUUUGCUUAUACUCUGUUUUCAAUAACAGAGAAUGUGGGGUUUGUAAUAUUAGAUGAUGUCAUUUCUUGUGUGUUAUUUGACAUUCUUCUUGUUUCGUUUUCGGUUUCGGUGUUCGGUUUUUGGUUUCGGUAACUGUUUGUAUUUAAAUAUUGAAGGGCAUUAUUUGAGUGCAUCAGCACAAAUGUGGGCUAGCACACACAAUGAAACACUUAAACAGAAAAUGGAUGCUUUAGUUUCUGCUCUAUCGGCUUGCCAAGAUAAAUUACAAACCGGUUAUCUUUCGGCUUUUCCGUCUGAAUUUUUCGAUCGUUUCGAAGCUGUUAAACCCGUUUGGGCUCCCUACUACACAAUUCACAAGGUAUAUAAUUAUAAUUUAUAUAUACACUAUUUAUUCGAUUUUUUUAGGGUUAUUUCCGUAAUAUUUGAACAACUUUUCGUAGAUAUUGGCAGGGCUUUUGGAUCAGUAUACUUUAGCUGGAAACGAUAAAGCUUUGAAAAUGACGGUAUGGAUGGUGGAUUACUUUUACGGUCGAGUUCAAAACGUGAUUAAAAAAUACUCGAUCGAAAGGCACUGGUAUUCGUUAAACGAAGAGACGGGAGGCAUGAAUGAUGUCCUUUACAAACUAUACAGCGUGACGGUGGGAUUUAGUUUAUAGUAUAUUUCGUUUCGUUUAACUGAAAUAACUAAUUAUAAUUUGAGCUGAUAAUCGUUUGUUAUGUAUAUGGCGGGCGGUGGGCAGGGUGACGAUAAGCACUUGUUGUUAGCUCAUCUGUUCGACAAGCCUUGCUUUCUUGGAUUACUAGCCGUUAAGGUAUAUCGAUUUAAUUCCGAUAAUUUAAAUAUUCCAAAUUGUGUUCUAAUUAGUAAUUAUUUAUUGUUUUUUUUUUUUUUUGCUUACAGGCAGAUGAUAUAUCUGGCUUUCAUGCGAAUACACACAUUCCGGUGGUGGUCGGAUCUCAAAUGCGGUACGAAGUAACCGGUGAUCCUCUGUAUAAGGUAUUAUUUCUCUUAAUAAUUCUUAUUUUUUUUAAAUUUCAUAAAGUUAUUUUAAUUUCGAUUUUAUUAUCAGGAAAUAGGAACAUUCUUCAUGGAUAUAGUCAACUCUUCUCACAGCUACGCCACCGGAGGAACAUCAGUUAACGAAUUCUGGUACUCACGUUAUUUUACUUUCGACCCGUUUAUUAAUUUCAAACCUCUUUUCAUCAUCGAACGACAAUCCUUAAUUUUUAAUAUUUUUGGUUUAAUUAUGCGUAGGACUAAUCCAAAGCGGUUAGCCGACACCCUAAAUACCGAAAACGAAGAAUCGUGCACGACUUAUAACAUGCUCAAGGUGAAUCCAUUACAAUAAAUUAAACUCUAUAUCAAACUGCUAAUAAUAACAUUUGAAAUAUAUACUUAAAUAUAAUAUAAAACAUGUAGGUGUCGCGCCACCUGUUCCGAUGGACUAAAGAAAUGGCGUACGCAGACUAUUACGAACGGGCUUUGACCAACGGAGUGUUGACCGUUCAACGGGGAAGAGAUCCGGGUGUCAUGAUAUACAUGCUUCCACUGUCACAUGGCAGCUCGAAGGCCCAUAGCUACCAUGGUUGGGGAACUAAAUACGACUCUUUUUGGUGCUGUUACGGAACAGGUACAUUAUUAUUAUUACAACACUAAACUUUAUUCCGGUUUUGAAAUUUUUCGAUUUUUAUUUUUUUCGGACAGGAAUUGAAUCGUUUUCGAAGUUGGGAGAUUCGAUAUACUUUGAAGAGGGAGGAAAAACUCCGUCUCUCUACAUCAUUCAGUACAUAAGCAGCUCCAUAAAUUGGAGAGCAGGAAAUAUUUCUCUAAGGCAAGAAGUCGAUCCAAUUGUUUCGUUGGAUCAACGGUUUCGAGUUGCGUUCACAUUUGCAUCCACCGAGGUAUAAUUGUUUAAUUUGAUCAACUUUUUUUUUAAUCGAUAUAAUUGUCACGUAAUUUUUUUUUAGCAGCAUUCAUCAGGUGGAACAGCUACACUGAAAUUCAGAAUACCUCUAUGGACGAAUUCCGACGGUGCAAAGGCAUCGAUUAACGGUCAGGAUUUGCCGUUGCUAAAUCCAGGUAAAAAAAAUCAUCCUUAAAAGUGCUAUAUAGAAAUUUAUAUAUUAAUUUAAUUUAAUUCAAUGCAGGCAAUUUCCUAUCAAUUUCUAAAAAUUGGAGUCCAGGUGACAAAAUCAUUUUUGACCUGCCCUUAAGUAUUAGAACUGAGGCAAUUAAAGGUAACAUAAAACAUAUAUUUAAAUUAAUGUCACUAACUAACUAUACAUAUAUUUUGUUUUCUCUGCUUUGUUAAGAAAAUUGUUACGGUUACCGUUCAGAUGAUCGGCCGGAAUAUUCUUCACUCAAGGCAAUAUUCUACGGGCCCUACCUGCUCGCCGGUCUUUCCGACGGAGAAUGGGAAAUCGACGCCACGUCAGCAACUUCAGUUUCAGACUGGCUAACUCCAAUCCCACCUUAUUACAACUCCCACUUAAUCUCUCUCUCCCAAGAAUCCGGCCAGUCAGCAUUGGCCGUCACAAUCUCCAACGCUUCGUUGAAGAUGGACUAUAUUCCCCCGCCCGGGAAUAACUCUGCCGUUAGAUCAACUUUUCGAAUCAUCCCGAAAGAAGAUCCUAAACAACUCAAAAACUUUACGAACCCAAAAGAUGCUAUCGGCAAACUAGUAGUACUAGAGCCGUUCAAUUCCCCGGGCAUGGCUAUUGCACACAACGGAGAAGGCGGGAAUCUCGUAGUGGCGACGGAAUAUUCCUCCGCGGCUGUUUUUCGAUUGGUUCGUGGAUUGGACGGUGGAGAUUCGACGGUGUCGUUGGAAUCUAACGACCGUAAAGGUUGCUUCGUUUACAGCGGAGCGGAUUCGGAAAACGGGACGACAAUCAAGCUUAGAUGCAAAUCAACGUCGGUAGUAGGUAACGACGAAGAUGGAUUUAAAAAAGGCGCGAGUUUUAGUAUGGGGAAAGGGUUUAGUGAGUAUGAUCCUAUUAGCUUUGUGGCAAAGGGGAAGCAGAGGAAUUUUCUUAUGUCUCCAUUGCUUAGCUUGAGGGAUGAAUCUUACACUGUCUACUUUAAUAUUCAUUCAUGAACAUCAUAAUCAUGGUGUGUGUGUGUGUAAUGUACUACUAGUAAGAUGCAAUAACUAAAUAAAAAAAGCUUUUCGACAAAUAUUUUAGCAUGAAUUGUGGUGUAAAUCGAACGGAUCAGAUUAGAAUAAACCCUUUUGGAAAAAAAUCAUUUUUUUCGGAAGUGAAAAACUAGUUCCAAUUUGUUCCAAAAAAAAUCGAAUCGGAAUUUCAGAAAUUGGAAUGAAAAUUUUGAUUCGGAAUUCGAAAAUUUCUAUUUUUUGGUCACCUAAAAUAUAAAAAUACACAAUAAUAUUGGUUUUUUAAGUGUAAUAUAUGAAGAAAAAAAAUCGAUUUCCGGAACUUAAAAUCGGAUCGAAAAUCAGAAUCUCAUAUAUAUUCCAAUUCUGAUCCAAAUAAUUUCAGAAAAAUUGGAAUUUCGAAAUUCAAAUUGAAAAAUAUGUUCUAAAAUCGGAAAUUUUAGGAUUAGAAUUGACGGAAAUCGGAAAUUUCGUUCCAAUUUCCACCUCUAACCGUGGGUUCUUUGUAAAAAAAAAUAAAAAAUAAAAGAAUUGGAAUAAUCCCUAUUCUAUAGGAAAUGAAGAAAAUCCCAACAUUAAUGGAGAAAGAAUACUUCUAAAAAAGAAAAAGAAAAAGAAAAAGGCAACGCAAAUACUGCAUUUCUGGUGAAACAGAUAUAGAUUACCCAUAAAAGUGAUGAUGAUCCCUUUAUGAAUAAUCCAAAGCUAACCAAACCAAUUCACACAUAAGCAACUUUGUUCCACUCUGCAGCUAGCUGCAUACACUCACUCUUCUCUCUCUCUCUAGAAAACACCUUGUAAUUUGCCCAUCGUUGCAGCUGUUUAUGCAGUAGUUCUAUGAUUUCCGAUCGUUUCUAAUGUUUUAUUUUUCCUGCAUGUUUUUUCUCUUAUUGAUCGUUUGAAUUUAUCCGCUACGUGAUUUUUUCUUAUGCAGUUUAUAAUUUCUUAAUUGACGAUUGAAUUAUGUCCAAGGGUUUCAGUUUCUUCCUGAUGCUUUCUUCAAUUAAAAAUUUACUUUCUUAGAAAAAAGUAGCAAAUUCACAGUCGGCGGGAUUAAUUGUUCAAUUGAUAGUGUAGAAAUCCAGACAACGUUCAUCUUUUCUCGUUGAAUUAGCGUUUGGGGGCGGAGGGAUGUACGGGCAAUCUUCGCCUGCCCUAAUCGAGAUGCUAGGAGGGUUUGUUCUGUUUUCUCUGUUUUUCGCGUUUGUUUCGAGCAAGGUUUGCACUAAUGGCGGCGUGACGUCAUCACACACUUCUCGAUACGAGUUGUUGUACUCGAGGAAUUCAUCGUGGGAGAGACAAAAUCUAGCCCAACUGCAUCUGAUUCCUAGUGACGAUCAUUCGAUUCCGAGGAAAAUGUUGAGAGAAGAGGAUGAAAUUAAUUGGAACAUACUGUACAGAGAAACGAAGAGCUAUGGUGGAAAGAGGGUUAAUGGAGUCGAUUUUCUCAAGGAAGUUUCGUUGCAUGAUGUGAGAUUGGACCCAAAUUCGAUUCACGGUAUUGCUCAGCAGACGAAUUUGGAGUAUCUUUUAAUGUUGGAUGUCGAUCGGUUGGUGUGGAGUUUUCGUAAGACUGCAGGUUUAUCGACACCUGGCGAACCAUACGGUGGUUGGGAGGCACCGGAUGUCGAACUCCGUGGUCAUUUUGUAGGUCGGUUUUUUUGGUUUUGCUGCAAUUUCGAAUUUGAUUUUAUUUAGUUGAAUUAGAGGUAUUUUUUUUUCUUCUUGAAUACGAUUGUUUGUAUUUUAUUGAAGGGCAUUAUUUGAGUGCAUCGGCACAAAUGUGGGCUAGCACACAUAAUGCCGAUCUCAAGGAAAAAAUGUCCGCUGUGGUUUCUGUUUUAUCGGAAUGCCAAAGCAAGAUGGGCAGUGGAUAUCUUUCGGCAUUUCCGUCUGAACUGUUUGACCGAUUUGAAGCUUUACAAGAAGUUUGGGCUCCGUAUUAUACGAUCCAUAAGGUAGAAGAAGCUUUUAGUUGAUGUUCUGAUUGUGUUUGUUGAUUGAUUCUUGAUCUUAUUUUUUGAGAAAUUUGUGCAGAUAUUGGCUGGUCUUUUAGAUCAAUACACUUUGGCUGGCAGUGAUCAAGCUUUGAAUAUGACGAAGUGGAUGGUUGAUUAUUUCUAUAACCGAGUGCAAAAUGUGAUAUCAAAGCACACAGUUGAAAGGCAUUGGCUAUCGUUGAAUGAAGAAACAGGUGGCAUGAAUGAUGUUCUUUAUAAGUUAUACGUUAUCACGGUGAGCUUGCCUCACUUAUAAAUUCAUGUUGUCUUUACAUGUAUUGUUUCUUGAUGUUUUUGUAAUAAGUUCUUUGUCAAAUAACAUAAUUAAAGAGUUAUGACUUACGAUACUCAUCUUGAUAUUUAUUAUCGAUUUGCAGGGCGACAAAAAGCAUUUUGUAUUAGCUCACCUGUUUGACAAGCCGUGCUUUCUGGGUUUGCUGGCAUUGAAGGUAGUUAUUUCCGUUUCCGUUUUAACGAUAAGUUGCGAGUUCAGAUAUUCGUUUACGUUUUCCUUCAUUUUGUUCUCUUGAUCUAUACGAAUGUGAUAUAUUAGAUCUUGUUCCAGUUAUUGAUUAAUUAAUACUUUUCACUUUUAGGCUGAUGACAUAACGGGUUUUCAUGCCAAUACACACAUUCCGAUUGUUGUUGGAUCUCAAAUGCGGUAUGAGAUUACUGGCGAUCCACUUUAUAAGGUAAAGCUUAGUGUCUGAAUACUGAGAAUAAACUUUUUAAGGUUUUGAGGACAACGGUACGGAACUUUUCUUCUACUUCUUCUUCUUCAGGAAAUCGGACUAUUCUUCAUGAAUAUAGUCAACUCAUCUCACAGCUACGUGACGGGAGGGACAUCAGUCGGCGAAUUUUGGUGCAAACUUCAACAUAUUUGAUAUAUUUUUUGAAGAAACAGCAAUUUUUUAAUCGAUAAUUUUAUGAUGUCAGUUUUAUCAAUUUGGUGUAGGUCUGAUCCAAAACGGUUAGCCACUACUUUAGAAACAGAGAACGAAGAAUCUUGUACAACUUAUAACAUGCUAAAGGUGUGGUUCUAUUAUGUGAUACUUGGAUUCUUAGUUCAGACACUUAAAAAAAUUGGUUGCACUCUUACACGCAUGUUGGUAUAGGUUUCUCGCCACCUGUUUAGGUGGACCAAAGAAAUGGCAUAUGCUGAUUAUUACGAAAGAGCCCUAACAAAUGGUGUUUUGGGCAUCCAACGAGGCACGGAUCCUGGAAUCAUGAUUUACAUGCUUCCAUUACAGCGUGGUGGCUCUAAAGCUCGAGGCUACCAUGGAUGGGGAACAAAGUUCGAUUCAUUUUGGUGCUGUUAUGGGACAGGUGAAAACAUUGUUCGUUUUUUAUAAUUUAAUAGUUCUAUAUUUUUUUUUAAUUAUUAUGAUAUAUGCAGGUAUUGAAUCGUUCUCAAAGUUAGGAGAUUCGAUAUACUUUGAAGAGGAGGGAGUAGAUAUGGGGCUUUACAUCAUACAGUAUAUAUCAAGCUCCUUUGAUUGGAAAUCGACUCAUGUUGUGCUCAGCCAAAGAGUGGAACCUGUCGUUUCAUGGGAUCAAAGACUUCGUGUAACAAUCAAAAUUUCAUCGAAGAAGGUAUAUAAAAUCUGUUAUUAUUUCCCGAUUACUUUCAUUCGAAGUAAUAUUUGAAUGUCGAGAUAUAUAUUUUUAUUGUUUUGCCUGUAAUAUGCCGUUCUAAUUUCUGCUUCAUGCAGCAAGGAGAUGGAGCAUCAUCAACCCUAAAUUUAAGGAUUCCACUUUGGACAUAUUCGAAUGGUUCGAAAGCAUCUUUAAACGGUCAAGAAUUGUCCUUGCCGCCACCUGGUAAUGAACCUUGUCUCUUUUCGAUAAAUUUCCUAUGUCCCGCUAAAGAAAAAGUCAAUAAGAAGUUGAUUUUUUUUUUACACUCUCGAUGCAGGCAAUUUCCUGUCGAUAACUAAAAAUUGGAGCAAUGGAGACGAACUCAUUCUUGAUCUGCCUUUGGCUCUAAGAACCGAGGCUAUCAAAGGUACAAACACUUCAUUUUAUAUAUAUUGGAGCUAUAUAACAACGUUCAUCAUCUUUCUUGCAGACGACAGGCCGGAAUAUUCUUCUCUUCAAGGCAUCCUCUACGGGCCCUACCUUCUCGCCGCACUGUCCAGCGGCGACUUUGACAUUAAAACCAACUCGAUUACUCCAGUUCCUGCCGAUUAUAACUCUCAACUCAUUACACUCUCGCAACAAUUCAAUAAUUCCGUUUUGGUCCUAACAAACUCCGAGGGAGUUUUAACAAUGAAAGAGUCUCCCGAAAAAGGAACCGACGCAGCUCUAAAAGCUACAUUCAGACUCAUAACUACAAACAACAACUCGGACGCGGAAACUUCCGCUCCAGUAGCAAACAGUGCAGUUGGCGGUACAGUUGUUUUAGAACCGUUCGAUUUUCCCGGGAUGUUUGUUUUGCAUGGUGGGGAUGGUGAGGGUCUUGGAGUGGGGGAUUCGAAUUCAUCCAACCGUUCGUUUGCUUUCCGUCUGACAGACGGAUUGGACGGUGAAGAUGGAACGGUGUCGUUGGAGUCUGAGAGUGAGAAGGGGUGCUUUGUGUAUGCUGAGGUGGCGAAUAACAACGGUGUGGAGAUGAAGUGUGGUUCGGGUUCGUUUGAUGAUGGGUUUCGAAGGGGGGCGAGUUUUAGGUUGGGGGGUGGGAUUAGUAAGUAUGAUCCUAUUAGCUUUGUGGGUAAAGGUGUGAAGAGAGAUUUUAUUAUGGUUCCUUUGCUUAGCUUGAGAGAUGAGUCCUACACUGUGUAUUUCAACUCUUCGACGUAAAAUUGUUGAUCAGGCUAAGAUGAAUAAAUGUUUAUUUAUUUAGAAAAGAAAAGAAAAAAAAAAGAAUAAAUGUUUUAUAUUUAUUUUUAAUAUAUAUUAUUAUUAACUUAAACUUGUCGUGUAGUGUCCAGGAAGCUGCCAAAUAGGAGCACGUGCAAUGUUUCAUUGGCUGUUGAUGGUUCUGCCAGCUGCCAGGUAAGAACAUAAUUGAGGUGGAAAAUAAAUAUUAGUAGGAAAACCAACUGUAUACUGUUGAAAUUUAUUAUUUAAUUGUUCUAUAAAUGAAUACACAAGGUCGAUAUGUUAUACAUAAAUUAAAUCAAUCUCAUAAUUCCCGCGGAAUGUGACUAGUCAAUGAUGAAAUUUAUUGCGAAUUUCUUAUUUUAAUUAAUGAAUUAUUGUAUAUUAAGAGAUUAGAGAAUAAACUUUUUGAUAAAUUUAUUCGAUGCUAGAGAAGAAACUUGCUCAAAGUUGAGGUGUGAGAUUUUAUUCCAAAUUGGAUUCGUAUGCAUCAUUCAUAGAAUAUGUGAUUUAUAAUGUACAAUUUAGUGACUCCGAGUCUGAGUCUAGACAAUGUAGCAUGUUUGUAAACACCUUACACCUAGAUCUUGUUUGGUUAUAAGUGAGACAAUAGAAAAGAAAUUAGUAACUAUCCGUUGCAACAAAACCUUAUCUUUCAAAAUUUAUAUUAUGACCGUUAUAUGCAGUAUUUAUUAUUUAUUUACCAGAGUACAGCAUUUCUGUCUUAUACUCUUACCCAAUAAUCAAUGAGAAAAUGUCAUAAUGCUAUUUGUUACAUUGACCAGACAUAUCAGUUCAGCAAAACGACACCGUUUCAUUGAACUUCCAAAACAUUAAGCAAAAACAAAAUUCACACAAUUUAAAAAAAAAACCAUAUUAUAAUACACAUGAAAACAUUUUCCCAUUUCCCACCAAACAUGGAAAAAGAAUGCUAGUUCAAAGCUCAAACUCCAAUUAAAGAACUAAUAAUAUGAUUAAUUACUAUAGUUACAUAGACAUAUCUAUUUCUAUGCUAUAUUUUGGUGAAAUACAUCGGCAUCGAGUCAUCGACAGUACUAUUACAAUUUAUUAACACACCCACACAUCCAUUUUGAUGCGUGUAGAUGAUGAACAACAAAUCUUCACCCGAUGUACGCUUCACCAAAUACAGCAUAGAUUCGAUCAUUAUCGAAGCAAAUUAUAUGACCCGGGAAAAUAUGAAAUAGUAAAUAAUAAUAAUAAUAAUAAUAAUAAUAAUCGGAAACUAUAUAUUAUAUACCUAAUUAACAAGGUCGAAGUGGCUUCCCGCAUAGGCAAUCGUUGGACUCAAACGACGACGCUUCAAGAUGAUCGAAAGGGGAUCCGGCCGGAAUGGGUCCACACAGAUGGUUAUGGCUGACGUCGAGGUGUCCGAUGUACGUCGCCGACGAAAUCGACUUUGGAAUUCUGCCUUUCAAUUUGUUGUACGAUAAAUCCAUCACCGUGAAGUAAGAUCUCGGUCCGAACGAAUCUGGUAUGUAGCCUUCGAUGAAGUUUCUGCUCAAAUUCAGUAUGCUUAUGCCGGAGCUGAUCAGCGUCGGUGGAAUCUGGCCGGCGAUCUGGUUGCCGUCGAGAUUCAGCGUGGCGAGAACCGCCAUUUUACCGAGGGAAGCCGGAAUCGGGCCGGACAGCCGGUUCAGGGAGAGAUCCAGAUCGGAGAGGCGGUAGAUGUACGAGAUCGACUCCGGGAUCAACCCGUUCAACUCGUUCUUACUGAGUAAGGCGCGGCUCAGCAUCCUCAGCUUCCCGAAAUUUCUGGGGAUGGUGCCGGAAAUUCGGUUUCCUCUGAUGUCCAAAUGCAUCAGCGAGGACAGGUUGGUCAGCGAGCGGGGAAUGGUGCCGGAGAGCUGGUUAUCCGCCACGUUCAACACGGUGAGUCGACUCAGUCGGCCGAUAUCCGCCGGAAGUUCGCCGGUGAGCUUGUUCCCGAUCAGGUCGAGGAUUCGAAGGUACGGCAGCGAAGCGAUGCACGGAGGGAUCGGACCGGAGAUGCCCUUCCAAUCGGCGAUGGUGAAGCUGGAAAGCCGCUCGAGUUGGCAGACGGCCGGGGAAAUCGAACCGGUCAUGUACCCGGUUCGGCGGGCCUUACGGAAGAUCGGGUCCUCCGAUUCGCCCCGGAGGUUGAUGUCGGCGACUCGGUGGCUCUCCUGGUCGCAACUCACUCCAUACCACUUGUGGCAGCAGUCGUAGCCCUUCCACGAGUCGAAGAUGCCCAAGUAGGGCUCCUGCAGCGCUGCCCGGAAGGCCAGUAGAGCUGCCCGGUCGGAAGGCGGGCAGGCAUUAGAUACAGAAGUUAGAGAUACGAGUGUUAUUACUACUACUGCUGAUAACGCGUACAGAAAGGUGGUGGUGGUGGUGGUGGUGGCCAUUGAUGAGACUGCGGUUUUUGCGAUUGUUUCUCUCUCCUCACACUUCUCUGUUUCUCUCUCUAGAAAUCAGUUUCUCUCUCAGUCUGACAGUUUUGCAUGUGAGUGUGUUUUUUCUUCACUGCAAUGUCAUGCACGUUGAAGAGUGGGCUGCCUGGGGGUUUAUAUAUAUACUGUGCGGAUGUGUGGAAUGACGCUUCUACCCCUCACGUGUGCUGUAUGAAUAUCGGUCUACAAGUCAACAUGGUUAGGACUUCAUAGAUAAGAUUGAGAUUUUCUCGAUGGAUAAUGGAGAGACGAGAGAGUGACAAUCUUUUUAUAUUUUAUAAGAAAAUAAAUUUAUUCAUAAUAAUUAAUAACAACAAAAAAGAUAACAAAAGUUUAUAAUAAUUACUAGUUUUGAUUAAUAUAAAACAUACACAAAUUAUAUGGAGUUCUUUUUUAAUAUUUAAUUAGGAGUAUUGAAUAAUCAAUAGUGACAGCUCUUCAAUCAUAGCACAAAGAUGAGGAUGAGUGUAUAGUUGCAGAUGGAGGAUGUUGUGACACGUAGCAUUUAAUUGUCCAUACUCCAUAUUAAUUAUGAGUGAUAUAUAAUUUAGGACUAGACAUUAAAUUUUCAAAUAACACUAUUAAUUCCCUUUUGUGGCAAUUAAAUCAUCAAAUAAUGAUUAUUGUCCUCCAUUAUUUUUCUUCUAUAGUCAUAAUUUUAUGUUUGGGGGACGAAUAAUACUAUGCAUGAUUUAAAAAAAAUAAAAAAAAAUUACAUAAAAUAAUAAGGAUUUGAGAAUUAAUGAGGGGUCAUGGCCCCUUUUAUCCUAUGCUGACUUCGUAAUUGAGUUUGGUAUUCGUUUUAAUGUCUUCUGAUUUGCGGUCCUGGGCAUUUUCUUUUAUUGGAUAACAAACUAAUUUAAACUCGAUCAUGGACCAAAUCUAUGGGACUAAAAAUGUAAUAUUCUUUUUUUUUUUCUUUUCUAAUUCAAUUUUUGUAUGGGGUGAAAUGCAGGGACUAAUUAUUCAUAGUAACUUUGCACCCGAUUAUGUAUAGAUGUUUAUAAAAUAUAUAUUAAUCAUUUAUGGUUGGAUGAUCUAUUCGAUACAAAAUAUUGAGUUUAGUAUAGAAUAAAUGGCAGAAAAAUAAUAAUAAUAAUAAUAAUAAUAAUAAUAAUAAUAAUAAUAAUAAAUUAGAUAAUUAUGAUGAUGUGAUUUUUGAAAGGAGGUCAUAUUUGUUGUCCAAAAACUUUGGGUCCUCCGUAUUUAAAAUUACAUGGUUUGGUACCUCAGGAAGAGGGAUCAUUUUGUUGUUUUAUUUUUAUUUGUGGGCGAAAAGCAAUGUUUCAAUAUAUCUAUAUAUAUACCAAUAAUUGAUUAAAUUAUUAUAGCAAGAUCAAAAGAGAGAGAGAGAGAGUAAAAUCGUAUAAGUAAAAUAGUACUAAUAUAUUAUUAAAAAAAAAAAGUAAACUGUGGUUACUCCUUGAAGUAAGAUAAAAUAACUUAUGAGCCCUUGUAGUAUUGGUAAUUAUAAAUACUCCCUAAAACUAAACAACUUGUUACAAACUCUAAGGGAAUGAAUGA